AUCAGGAGACUCUAACCCAGAAGCUUUAGGUCUUUACAUGGCAGAAUCCUUGAACAAAUAUGGUAUCCUCUAUUGUCACAUGGUUGAGCCGAGGAUGAAAACACGUGAAGAAAAAUCUGAAUGUCCUCACAGUUUGCUGCCCAUGAGAAAGGCUUUCAAGGGCACUUUUCUUGUCGCUGGGGGUUAUGACAGGGAAGAUGGAAACAAAGCUAUUGCUGAAGGCCGUGCAGAUCUUGUUGUUUAUGGUCGCUUGUUCUUGGCUAAUCCAGAUUUGCCCAGGAGAUUUGAGCUCAAUGCUCCCCUCAAUAAAUACAACAGAGAAACAUUCUACACAUCCGAUCCUGUUGUUGGUUACACAGAUUAUCCAUUUCUCAACACCUCUUCUUUGGUUACCAAGAAAAAUGAUUAGACUGAUAAAGCAUUAUCUCGGAUUUAAUCCUGUUUUCUGAAUGUUUAUAGAUGUACUGUGUUUAUGUAAAAGCCAAUAUAGGUUAUCUCAAUAAAAUUGUAUUGGCGUAAGGCCAAGGGCUAUACCUAUACGUUUCACAUACACUUCCUCUCUCAUUCCAAUUGAGACUGCAAUUCUCAAAAAUCACAAGGAUAAAAGAAAUACGAAGCAUUGUGGUAUCAAACUCAAAACCAUCCUUUCGUCUCAUAAAUUGGAAAACGAAUUAACAUGGAGCAAUUCAUCACCAGCAUGUUUGAAUGCAUACUUCGCUUUCCCUUCGGUUAAUUUCAAAAUACUUACACUACUCCAAAUUGACAAAACAUAAAACAGGUCUUCACACGUGUGCAUACGGGCUUGACCCAUUUCUCAGCCAUUUGAUGAAAACUAAAUAUAUAUAUUAUUUUGGAUUAAAAAUCAGUUAGUAGCAUUGAUUUGAAUUGGUCAAGGUUCGUAUCUAAAAUAAAAUAUUUAAUCUAAAACUAUAAAAGAGUAAAACUAAACCUAAUUGUAUUCGAUUAACACCACACAUGUACAGGAUAACAAUGACACAUAUACUCUUUCUUCUAUAGUACUUUUUCUCUGAAAAGGUACUAGGGAUGGCAAUUUUUCCCGUUGGGACGGGAUCCCGCAGGAUCCCGUCCCGUUUAGGAUGGGAUUGAGACAUAUUUUUUCAUACCAAAUUAAAAUGGGAUGGGAUAAGGAUAAAAAUAAAUCCCACUUUUAUUUAUGGGACGGGAGGAGGACUAAUUAUAAAAUCUCGUCCUGUCCUGUAUAUCCCGUUAAUAUUAUAAUUUAAAAUAAAAAGUGAAAAAGUCACAAAUAAAAUUAAUAAUUUAUAGCAAUAAUUACGCUUCAAAACUCAACCAAUUUCCUAAAUUAACACUGCACCCUAAGUGUUGACCGCCCAACGCCCCUUGCCCUCACCACAAAAAUUUUUACUACGCCACAAAAGUUCCCAAGCAGCCACCCACGACUUGCCCACUACGCCUCUGCUAGCAAUUCAUCCACAAAAUUCUCGCUUUUCAGCCUCCACACAGUAAGUUAACAUUCAUAAUUUGGCUUUUUUUGUUUUUAUUGUUCACAGUUUUGUGCUCUUUUCAUAUAAUUGAUAUUUGUUAAAUAUUAUUAUAUUAUAUACGGCAAUCUAGUUGAAGUUGUUAUAUUAUAAUGAUUAUUAUAUUUGUUUAAGUAGUAUUGAGUUUUAAAAUAAAGGUUCUUGUGGUCCUAUAUUAUUAUUACUUUUGUUUUAUAUGGUUUGAUGUUUGUAAAAGGUUAAUUUAUAUUUAAUUCAUUUAUUUGAGUUGUGGAUUGUUGUUUUCUUUUUGCUUUAAAGGAUGGCUUCUCCUCCAGUAGUGGACAAUGAAAGUUUAGAUAAUGAUGAUGUGCAUGUUGUUGAAGAAAACGCCAAAGACAAUGAUUUAACAUCAAGAUUAAGAUCAGUGGUCUGGAAACAUUUUGAAAGAAAGAUAAAAAAUGGAAAAAUAAGAGCCUUUUGUAAGCACUGCAAUAAAGACUAUGUUGGAGGUCCUAGAGAUGGAACAAGACACUUGAACGAUCACAUGAAAAUAUGCCCUCGACGUAAUCAAAUUGAGAUAACACAUUUAUUCAAAGAAGUUAAAAACAGUUGAGGAUGAUCAGGGAAAUGUGAAGGUAGAGACUUAUUCUUUUGAUCCUGAUGUCACUAGGGGAUUGAUUGCACGUAUGAUCAUUAUGCAUGAGUACCCAUUAAGUUGCGUUGAGCAUGAAUGGUUUAGAAAAGUGUUGUCUUCUUUAAACCCAAUGUGGAAAACGUAUCUCGCAAUACUAUAAAAAGUGAUAUUAUGGAGCUAUAUGAGAUGGAAAAGGCUAAGGUUGUGAGUUUAAUAGAGAGUAACAGUAGUAAAGUUGCAAUCACAACCGACAUGUGGACUUGUGGCUCCCAAACAAAAGGGUACAUGGCUAUUACAAUACUUUAUUGAUGAUUCUUGGACCUUACAGAGUCAAAUUUUGAGGUACUAUGUUUAAUUCUAAUUAACAUUGAAAUAUUUAGUGCAUUAUAUUUAUUUAUUGAAUAUAUUUGUAAUUAAUUGUAAUUUUUCUAUGUAGGUUUAUUCAUGUGCAAGCUCGACAUACUUCUCAAGUACUUUGUGAUGUACUAUUCAGAUGUUUAAUGGAUCUUAAUCUUGAGCGUAAGUUAUUUGCAUUAACUGUUGAUAAUUGCACUACUAAUGAUCGAAUGAUUCAACUUCUACUAGAUAAACUUGAUAAAAAUGAUUUACUUAUGGGUGGCAAGUUGUUUCAUAUGUGAUGUACUGCUCACAUUUUAAACUUGAUUGUCAAAGAGGGGUUAAGUGUUAUUAGUGAGGGUGUUGCUAAAAUUCGUGCUAGUGUUGCAUUUUGGACAGUUACCCCUCAAAGAAGGGAAAAAUUUAAAGAGAUUUCUCGUAGGUUGAAUAUUCCAUGUAGUAAGGAGUUAGUUCUUGAUUGCAUCACUAGAUGGAACUCUACUUAUCUCAUGAUUUCUGUUGCCCUGGAGUAUAAAAAUGUCUUUUAUAGAUUGCAUCAAUUGGAGGCACAAUAUAGGUGUUUGCCAAGUGAAAGUGAAUGGGAGUUAGCUCGUAUAUUGUCAAAUAAUUUGAAAUCGUUUUAUAAUGUGACUGAGGUAUUUUCUGGAACUAAGUACCCCACAUCCAAUUUGUUUUUCAUUCAUAUUUGUGAGAUUAGAUUAUCAUUAGGUAGUUGGCUUACAUGUGAGCAUGAUGAAGUUAGACAAAUGGCAAUUAACAUGAUUGGCAAAUUUGAAAAAUAUUGGAAAGAUGUUAAUGGGGUAUUAACCGUGGCAAUAGUGUUGGAUCCUAGAUAUAAAAUGAAAUUGAUUGAGUUCUACUUUCCAUUGUUAUAUGGUGAUGAAUCAAAUAUUCAUAUUGAGAGAGUUCAGAUGCUUUUAAAGGAAUUAAUAAAGGAGUAUGAAUUUAAGGUCAAAUUAUCUAUAAGCGGUCCUAGCGCAGGUGCUUUUAGUUCUAGUAUAGGAGAGUCCUCAGUCGUUAUGUCCCAUGUUGAGGAACAACUUUCAAGUAGGUAUGAUGAUUUUUUGAAAGCCAAUAUGGUUGAGAACCGUAAGACUAAGCUUGAGUCAUAUUUAGGUGAAUAUGUGUUGAUUACCAAGGACAAAAAUUUUGAUAUUUUGGGUUGGUGGAAAAUAAAUGCAAUACAAUAUCCUUUGUUAUCUAUUAUUGCUAGGGAUAUACUAGCAAUCCCAGUGUCAACAAUUGCUUCCGAGUCAGCUUUUAGCACAGAUGGUGGAGUAGUUAGCCCACAUCGUAAUAGACUACACUCACAAACAGUGGAGGCAUUGAUGUGCACUCAAAGUUGGUUGAAUGCUUACACAAGAGGUAAUUUAUUUUAUUGUAAUUUAUGCAUAUUUUAAAUCUUCAAACUUUUUUAUUUUCUUUUCUAGUUUUUAAUUUUUUUUUUUUUGUUUUCUAAGACAAUGGGCAUACAACUUCUAGUGAAAAUCCUACAUUUGCAGAUGAAGAAAAUGUUGAUGCAGAGAUUGAAGAGGUAACUGAUUUUAUUAAUAAUUUUGAACAUUAAUGAUUAAUUAUUAUGUAAUUAUCAAAAUAUUAGUCUUACUCUAACCUCUCUUUAUUAAAUUCCUGUGGGUUUAUACAGAAAUUUGAAAGUGCGGUCUUAAAAGUGUGGUUAGAGUAUGAAGUUUUCUUGUCUAAUGAAGUGGGAACUGGAAUUGAAGUCAACUUUUGGAAGAUUAUGUUAAUUUUUAACUUUUGCUUGAACUUUGGAACUUAGAUUGAUUUGGAUUAGCUUCGGAACUUUGAAUUUUUUGUUUCUUUAUUUGCUAUAUAUUGAUUUAUGACGAUCCUUAAAAGAAAAAAUUAAAAUUUAUUUAUUUACAUUUGGGACUAUUCGAGAUAAUGGGAUGGGACGGGAUAUUUAAUGGGACAGGAUUGGGAUAAAUUUUUGUCCCAAAAAAAAUAAAGGGACGGGAAUGAGACUUUUUUUAGUCCCAAUUCAAUAUACGGGACAGGACUGGGAUUGACAAAUCUCGUCCCAUCCCGUCCCAUUGCCAACCCUAAAAGGUACUAGAAUGAAAGGAGGCUGAAGCCUAUUUUGGCUUUUUCAUUCGCUCACUAGUUGAGUAUUCUUUUACAAUUUUCCAUAGUACUUCUCGAAGGAAUUUGGGUGAUUAACUCCUUUUAGCUUUUAUUUGUGGAUAAUAAAGGGUAGGUUAGCUAAGUUAUUGCUGGAUUCACAGCUAAGUAUGGAUACAGAGGAUUUAUUGCACAAGUGUCAGGCUGUCGUUCUAAAAGAAGAAGAAGCAGACAUAGUAGCAUUCAUAGGGCAAAUGAGGAUUAAGGGAGAAGAAGUUGCUGCGAAUUGUCUAGUAGGGAAGGUGUUGCUUUCACGAAGCAUAAACGGGGAAGGCUUGAAAGCAGUUAUGCAAACGGCUUGGAGAACAGUGAAGGAGGAAAAAAUUGAAAGCAUGGGGGAUAAUAUUUUUCUCUUCAAGUUUGGUUCAGAAUAAAAAAAAAAAGAAUAUUUUUCUCUUCAAGUUUGGUUCAGAAUAAAAAAAAAAAAGAGUGCUUAUGGGAGGACCAUGUCAUUUUGAUAGAGCACUGAUAGUUUUGAUCGAACCAUCCGACAUUGGUGAUAUCAAAAAUCAAUCCUUUACGCAUACAACAUUUUGGGUAUAGAUCCAUAAUAUACCCAUAAUGUGCAUGAACAAGGAGGCAAUUCAAAAACUAGGUGAAAAGAUUAGUGAGGUCAAGGAAAUAGAGACAGCGGAAGCUGGGGAUUGCAUAGGACAGUUUGCUCGAGUAAGAAUCUCCCUUGACAUUACUCAGCCAUUAAAAAAGAUUGUGUUUUUACAACAAGAUGAAGGAAAAAUUCCAAUGCCAAUCCUGUAUGAAAAGCUACCGGACUUUUGCUUUUAUUGCGGGCAUGUAGGUCAUCAGUACAGAGAGUGCUUGAGGUACAAAGGACAACAAAAGGAGGAUCUGCCUUACGGGGGAAGGAUGAGAGCAGUCACUCAGGCUGAAAGGGUAAAACAAAAUCGAAGUAAAGAGAAAGGCAAUCGAGAAUAAUUCCAUUCUAGAGCAAAUGAUUCAACAACAACUAGCCUAAGGCCAUACCAGUCUCAAAACAACUCGGACAGUCAAAAUGGGUCUUACCUGAUCAAAUCGGGUCCGGAGAUAGAUAAUGGUGAUGAACCAGUGGGUAAAAGCAAGGAACCAAGAGCUGAUGGGCAACAUCUAAUGUUGAGUGUAACAGAGCAGGAAAACCAGCAAGUGGUGCAUUAAAGCAGGAUGGUGACAUCAACAAGUUGCAGGACAGGGUGGCUAGUAAUGAUAGCCAAUCUAGAUAUGAACGCAAAAAAAAAACAGAAAAGAAAGAUUGGAGGGAAAAUGAAAAUCUUGUAGAAAAAGACAAUGUGGGGAACAUGGAAAAUAAAAUGAAGAAGGACACGGGGGGUGCCAGAUCAGAUAAAGAGGAUUUGGAUAGAGGCCUGCUAUUUAGACUGUGGGAAGACAAAAUGAAGACAGAAACGACUCAUUUCUCUCUUGUCCUUUUCGUGGGCCCAAGGAGAAGCAAAUUACAAGUCACUAAACGGCAAUAACAUACUGCCGUUUCUGUCAUCAUUUUGUCGUCCUUUAGUUCAAUUAUCAUUUUCCUUUGGAUAAUGGGCCCAACAAGGCCACCGUGAAAUCCAAAGGAAGAAAAUGGAAAUUGCGGGCAAGAAACACCAAAGGAGAAAGAGCAAAUAAUAUUACUUUCAUAGGAAGUAAAAGACACAAAAGUGAAGGCCAUGGGCCUAGCCCAGAGAGCAAAAAGAAGCGAGUGUCCAGUCCAGAAAAGCAACCACAAGAAGGAAAACACAUAAGCCUAGCAAAAGCAUUAGGCAACUGCAACCAUUUUAGCCCCAACAAAGUAGCUCGCUAGCUGAAACAAGCAGAAGAAGUGCUAGAUGCAAGGGAAAACUUGGAAGCAAUGGAUGAAGACCUAUCGGCGGGUACUGAUGAUCAGCCCCGCCGACAACCAUGAAGAUCCUCAGCUGGAACUUUCGAGGUCUGGGGAAGCCUCGAACGCACUUAGCAAUCAGAAAAGUUCUCUACCUGCACCGGCCCCAAAUACUAUUUUGUUGUGAAACUAAGAUGAUGGCUAGGCAGGUCAAUUUAAUUUACAGAAGUUUUAAUUUUGUAAAUUGUUUUGCCGUGGACAGAAAUGGUUUGGGUAGAAGCCUAGUUGUGCUCUAGGGAGCAGAUGUUAAUGUCAAUAUCACCUCAUACAGGCCCCACCAUAUAAAUGCAAUAAUGAGUAGUGAAAGUGGCUUGGUUUAGAGAUGUACGGGGAUUUAUGGCCACCCAGAGCUCAGCCAGAAGCACAUCACAUGGACCCUUCUAAAAAGGUUAGCUAAUCUUUCUUCCCACCCUUGGUGUUGUUUUGGAGAUUUCAAUGAAGUGAUGGGUAUAAAUGAGAAAAAUGGGGGCAACAAGAAGAAUGUAAAUGUGGUUGUCGAGUUUAGAGAGGUUGUGGGCUGCAAGGGGUACCCGUAUACAUGGUCUAAUAAGAGAUUUGAUGCUAAUUACAUAGAAAAAUGGCUGGACAGAUUCUUGUGUAGUAAGGAUUGGGGCAAAAAAUUUUAAGACUCUACAGCCACAAACCUUGUUAAUUGGGUCUCGAAUCACUGCCCAAUAUUCUUAGAAUUCAAAUAGAGAUGCAAGAAGUCGAGGACUGUGAGCAUAUCGUUUCCUGUGAUCACUAUGAGGAUAUGUAGAGUUCUUACGAAGACUGUAAGAGCAUAGUAAAAGAUGAGUGGGGAAACUAUGGGGCUAGAGCUUGGGAGGAUCCUGCUCACCAAUUUCAGCGGAUAGCAAAAAAGUCUUUAGCUCAGCUUAAGCUUUGGAGUAAAAAUGAAUUUGAAGGAAGACAAAGAAAAUAAGAAAAGCUGUUUCAGAGCCUUCAGAAUGCUAUGCAAAGAAGCUCUAAGCUGACUGAUGGAGAGGAGAUUAGGAAGAUUGAAAGCCAGAUCAAUUCCACGCUUAUUGACGAGGACAUCUAUUGGAAGCAACGAUCAGGGGCUGACUGGCUAAGAAAAGGAGACAAAAACACUAAGUUUUUCCACGCCAAAGUUUCUGCCCGUAAAAGAAAGAAUAAGGUGUGGGGGGUAGAAAACUCUCAAGGCGUCUGGCUAAGGGAGAGAGAUGAUAUAGAAAAGGAAUUCUGCGGUUACUUCCAAGAACUCUUCACUACAUCCAGCCCAACUCCAAGCCAAAUUCAAGCUGCUCUUCAAGGAAUGCCGGUAAAAGUAACAUAAAAAAUGAAUGCCCAGCUGGAGAAGCCCUUCACUCCAGAGGAUAUAGAGGAGGCUCUAGGACAGACGUGCCCCAGAAAAGCCCCAGGUCCAGAUGGCUUAACUGCUGUAUUUUUUCAGAAGCAUUGGAAAUUAAUUCGCAAUGGAGUUGUUACAACAUGUCUUCAUAUCCUUAAUGAGCAAGGUAACCCGUCUCCUCUUAACCAUACUUUUAUCACCUUGAUCCCUAAAAUUGCUAAGCCUAAGAGAGUCUCUGAUUACAGGCCUAUAAGCCUGUGUAAUGUAAUUUAUAGAGUCGUAGCUAAGGCUAUUGCAAAUAGAAUGAAACCGAUCCUCUCCCAAAUCAUUUCUCCAAUGAAGAGUGCAUUCAUACCCAAUAGGACUCAUUACAGACAAUGUUAUUAUUGGUUAUGAAUGCCUCUAUAAGAUAAGACACUGUAAAGGGAAGAUGAAUGAUCUUGUGGCUCUUAAGCUAGAUAUUAGUAAGGCGUAUGAUAGAGUUGAAUGGUCUUUUUUGAAUCAAACAUUGUUAAGGCUGGGUUUCUCACCUAAUUGGGUGGAUUUGAUUAUGAGGUGUGUCUCUACUACCUCACUCUCGGUGAUUAUUAAUGGUGUGCCAAAGGGAAUAAUUCAGCUGGAAAGAGGUCUGAGGCAGGGCUGUCCGCUAUCUCCAUAUCUCUUUAUCAUCUGUGCUGAGGCGUUCUCCAAUAUGCUUGUGAAGGCGGAAAAGAAUCAGCUAAUCCGAGGUCUGAAAUUUACAAAAAAAAGUCUCAAUUACCCACUUGCUGUUUGCGGAUGAUAGCCUGGUUUUUUAUCGUGCUUCAGUGGCUAAUUGUAAGCAUCUAAAGGAGAUUUUCAACAAUAAUGCAGCAGCUUCUGGGCAGAUUUUUAAUUUUCAGAAAUCCUCCUUGUUCAUUAGUGGCUGAAUCCCUGCAAGUCAAACAGCUGCUAUUAAGGACAUUUUCAAGUUAAAUGUGGUCUCCAAGCAUGAAAAAUACUUAGGCCUCCCCUCAAUGAUAGGAAGAAAAAAACUGAGCUUUUUCAAUGAAGUAAAGCUAAAAGUUUUAAACAAGAUCGCAGGGUGGUAGCAUAAAAGGUUUUCGAGUGGGGGUAAGGAAAUCUUGAUUAAAGCGGCAACCCAAGCUAUCCAGCUUACGCAAUGAGUGUGUUCAAGCUUCCGAGAGGUCUUUGUGAUGACAUUCAACGGGCUAUAGCGAAGUUUUGGUGGGGAACGAAGGAAGAUAAGCAGGGUAUCCAUUGGUUAAAAUGGGAGAAGUUCAGCCAUGUAAAAAACAGAGGUGGGAUGGGAUUUCAUAAUUUUACUAGCUUUAACCAAGCCUUGGUAGCAAAGCAAGCUUGGAGGUUUCCGCAGUACCCAAAUUCUCUGGUCUCAAGAGUCCUUCAAGCAAGAUAUUACAAGAACUCCAGCUUUCUAAGUGCAUUAGUAGGGUCCAAUGCCUCAUUCAUCUAGAAAAGCAAUCUUUGGGGCAAAGAAGUAAUCAAGAAAGGUUUUAGAUAGCGGGUGGGCAACGGCAAGAACAUAUCUAUUUACAAGGAUAAUUGGCUGCCAAGGCCAGAUACGUUCAAGCCAAUCUCCCCCCUACUUUGCUAGUAGACAUAGUGGCGGCAGACCUAAAUAAGGAAGAUAACCAUUGGGAUGAAGACAAGCUGAACCAACACUUUAUGGAAGUAGAUGCAGCAAUGAUUCUUAAGAUUCCUCUCCCAAAAGAACAUUUGGAUGAUGAUGUUUUAUGGCAUUAUGAUAAAAUGGGAGAAUACUCGGUCAAAAGUGGGUACCAGCUAGCCUUAAGAAUGAAAUUUUCAGAUGCUCCUAGUAGCUCAGAGAGCAUGUCUCAGUAUUGGAGUGCCCUUUGGUCCAUGGAGCUACCUAAAAAAAUAAAAAUAUUUAUGUGGAGGGCAUCAAACAAUCUGCUCCCAUCAACAAAAAAUAUAUGGAAAAGAAAAGUCCUUCAAGAGCCAACUUGUCAAAUAUGUAGAAAGAGCAUAGAAUCUAUAAGCCACGCCUUAUUGGAGUACAAGGCAGCAAAAUCGAUCUGGCUGCAAUCUCCCUUUACGGUUCCAAGCUUUAAAGAUCAUUCUCAGGACAUUUUUAGCAUUUUGCAAGGAAUGGCCAAUGAGUUAAGGAAAACUAAUUUGGAAUUAAUGGUAGCUUUGUGCUGGGUUGUAUGGUUUUCUAGAAACAAAUUUAUUUUCAAAGACAAGAAGAUAGCCCCCAAUAUCUCAAUUGCAAAGGCAAAGUCUGUUUUGGAUGCAUUUCAAAGAGUAACGAAGACAUACCCCUCUCAUAUUGCCUACUCCAGUGGAGAGAAGCUGCAGAAGUGGACCCCCCCCCCCCCCCCCCACAAAAAUUUCUUCAAAGUUAAUGUGGAUGCUACCAAGAAUGCCAAGGAUCAGACUACAGGAGUGGGACUAGUCAUCGGAGGAAAAAUGGCAACGUAAUUGCAGCUGGCAUCAAUCAAUCUUCUCUAAAGGGAACGGUCAGUAAUGCAGAGAUUGAGGCUAUGUUAUGGGGAAUUCAAGUGGCGAGAGAAGCAAAUUUAGCCUCAUUGAUCAUUGAGUCAGAUUGCUUAGAGGUGGUCCAGUUAGUAAACAACACUAAGGGUAGCAGAACAAAAUUUUUUUUGGACAAUUCUAGAGAUCCAAAAUCAGUCGAAGGAUUUUCAGAAAGUGGCAGUCCAUCAUACUCCAAGAUAAUGUAAUGCUUAUGCUCAUUCCUUAGCUAAGUUAGCUUUGGGGAGAAACUCUUCUUCUAUCUGGCUAGGAACUAUCCCAGCUAAGAUUCAAGUUGUAUUUGAUGUAUUGUGAUUUAUGAAAGGUUUACUUUCUUUUUUUUUUAAAAAGCACCACACAUGUACUGAGCAUUCACGCCUACCUACAAAUCAGUGGCAGCAUAGUAGUUGGCAUGGCAGUUUGCAUGACAAGAUACAUAACACAGUAGACUCAUUAGACAGCACACACACAACAGUAGUCACUGACUCACCAACGCAACCGCGUGAAGCCAGGCCAACGUGAGUCCGCGACAUGCUGACACAAUACACCUUGACCACUGCUGCAGCUUGCUCCACCUUGAUCGAUAGCCAUUAAGUUCCUCCAACUUACUUUUUUCAAUAAACAUUACUAUACUAUAUAUAUUAUAUUAAAUAAUUAAUUUCCAAAUUUCUAUUACGUUUAUAACUUUUCAAGUUCAAUGAUUUUUGUAUGCUUAAUAAGCUACUCAUCAAGAAAAAGUCACAAUUUAUCCAUGAUUUUAGUUAGAAUUAGUAAUAUAGUGAAUAAGAGUAUAGAGAUCGUAUUUUUUUAAUUUUAAUUUCAAUACAAAUCAAACCCUAUAAAUUUAUAUAAGAAAAUGUAUGUUAAAAUUUUAUUCCUAAAUAAUCAUCAUGUAAAAUUCCGUUUCAUUGUUUUUUGCUUAGACUGAGACUAAUUAAUUUAUUAAUUGAAAUUGUAUUGUUAAUUGUUUUUAGCACAAUUAUCCUAGUCUUAUUAUUAAUUGUUAUUUUUAAAUGUACUGGGCAUGUUUGAGAUUGUGAGUGUUGCGGUGAUAUUUUAAUAGUUUUAUGUUUUGAAUUAAUGAUGACUAUUCAUUUUUUUGUAUGUUCAAGUGACUAGACACUCAAGAUCAAUUAAAUUUCACAAUUGAUGAUGAGGAACAAAGUGUACAACUAAAAGGAAAUCAAAAAGGGAGGGAAAAGGCGAAGCAGGCGAAAAAUACAGCAAAUGAAAAAAAGAUUUCUAAUGUGGAAUCAUCUCACUUUAUUUAAGGACAAUUCAAACAAAUGCUAGUGCAACUAUUGUGGUAAACAAUAUCAAUGCCAUUCAAGGCAUGAGGAGAUUACCAGUCUGAGAAAUAAUAUAAAAAUUUAUAACAUAUACAAGACAUUCCAACAACAACAAGAUGAAAAUCAGCAGAAGUUGAUAGUUGAGGAUGGUGAAGGAAUUGCAAUUAACAUGGUUUUGGCUAAACGAUAGGAUGAGUGGAUGACAAGUGGUUCAAUUAUUUGUUUGAUACAUACAUGAAUGAUCUAUAUUCCAAGUUCCAACGGUUGCAUUCAAAUUCACCAAUAGCAGAAAAGAAAAGAAAAGUAAAUCAAUAUCUUUGCAUAAAUUUGUAAUUUUUUAAUUUACUUUUUCUCUUCAAUUCUUCUCCAGGGGAUCUGUCCUCCAACUUUGAAUAACUUCGAAUACAAGAAGUUGAAGUUAGAACUUGUCCAAAUAUUUACGUGAAGGAAGGUUAUUUAAUAUUUAUGUUUAAAUUUUGUUGUUUUAGAAACAGUUUAUUUUUAGACUUUGUAUUGGAAACUAUUUAAUUAUAUUUAAACUUUGUGAUCUUUGUGUUUUGAAGGCUAUUUAUAUUUGAAAAUCUUGCUUUGGGUGGAGGUUAUUAAAUUUGGACUUUGUGUUUAUUUUAAUUUGUAUACAUUUGAUUUUAAUGGUAGUAGACUAGUAUUUUUCUUUUUUUUUUUGAGAAUUGGUAAAAACAGACUAAAAUGAGAUAAUUAUAUGAAAAUAAUUUUCUAGUAACUAAAUAAUUUGUAAAGAAAACUCAAAAUAUACAAAAUAAAAGCUCAAAAUUGCCCAUGACUCGAAUCGACCCAAAUCCAAUUUUAAACCGAACUCAAUUCGAUCCGUCUAUAAUCCUAGCUCAGUCAACUUGAACUAAACCCGAACGUUUGAUCUAAUCCGAAUACAUACGGAUUAGAUUAGAUCAUAUUACAGUUCGAAUUGAGUUUGAAUAACUUUUUUUUCAAUCUAACUAACUUGAAAUCCGAUUGGAUUGAUUCAAACCCAAUUUUGCCCACCCCUAUUCAAUAUUGAUGCAAUUACGUUGUUGUGAUUCUUACGCAACACUUGUCGAACUACAUCAUUAUAUACAAUGUUAUGAACUACUUGGGUUAUAUUGGAAGAAAUAUGAACACGUGGAAAAAUCAGCAACCGCUGUCAUAAGUAUCCUAUGUUGGUGACCAGUAAAUUAGAAUGAGAGGUGGCUUCAAGUAUAGGCGAACAAGGCGAUUGCCUAAGACCCUAUAUUUUUUGAAGGCCUCUUUUUUUUUUUAAUAUUUCUUAAUAGUUCUUUAAUUAAUAAAGAUCUUUUUUUUUAAUUAUGUAUUGUAAAGAAGCCUAUUAGACAUCUUUAUAAUUAACAGUUAUACCACAACUAAGAAUUUUUUUUUUAUUAUAGAAAAUCAAUAUUUGGUAACCUUAAUGUUCAAGAGAUAUAAUUAAUAAAAUUGUUUAGCUAUUAAUUCAUUCAUUAUUAGUUUUUCCAAAAAAAAAUUAAUUUUUUACCUUUUAAGUUUCCUAAAAAAAUUAAAUUCUUUGACUUUUAAUAUUCCUUUUAAUUUCCAUUAAAACCUUGUAAUAUAAUAUAAAAAUCAAUAAAUAAAUAGAUUUCUUGCUCUUUUUUUUUUACAAACAGAAUUAUUACAUUCAUUAAUUCAUGUAAAAAAGAAAAAAAUUAGUUUCUUAAAAUAUAAAGUGCAUAUCUAUUAUUUCAUAAUCAAUUCAUUAUCUCAACUUUAUGCUAUUCUAAAUAUUCUAUUUGAAAAUAAUAUUUUUUUUAUUUAUUUGUUUGUUUAUUUUGUAAUAAUUUUAAUGGAAGUAAAAAAGAUAUCUUCUUGGUUAAUUUUUGAAAAUUUUUAAGAUAUUUUCAUUACUAUUAAAAUUCAAGAGUUAAAAGCCGAAUGAAUUUUUUAGUCUUUUAUAUUUUUUUGAGUAUUAAAAUUGUAAAAUAAAAAAAUGCCCUACAAAAAAAUUUUGCCUAAGGCCGCAUAUACUUUAAAGCCGGCCUGUUAGAAUCACUUGCAAUCCAUUCUGCAGUUCCCCCAUUUUGGCAUAAAUUUCCCUACCAACAUUCAGGGAUGUCCACACAAGCUUGCUCGUACUGUGCUGGGAUCCUUUGCAAAGUAAGAAACAUGUAGCUCCUUUUGAAGAAGUGAAAAAAAAAAAAUUCAUAUCCAAGAAAUAUAUGGGCUGAUGGAAAUAUAUAAUGAAGUAUCCGGGUUUCUAAGGGAAAUAUGAGUCAUAGAGAAUUAGGACUCAUUAUUUAUCUCGUUGGACAGCUUGAAUUUAAUUCUGUUUCACUUUCAUUUCUGUUUCUUGUAAAUUGGAUUCAAAUAUUCAUAGAUCUUGGUUAAUUCUAAAGGGUCUCGGGUACAAAAUUGAUUCUAGAUUUAUCUUGAUUUAUAGAUAUGGCCUUUGCAUAUACAAAUGAAUUAAAUACCUGAUAAAAAAGGAUACAUCAUUAAUCAUCCACAUAAAUUUUAAGAAAACUUGAUUUUUCGAUGAUUAUGUACCUGUGUUUCUAAGGGCACUAUCACAUAUUGUUGUCAAAGAAAUACCAAUAAGCAAACAUACCCAACACCUAGUGUUAUAUACAAAUGAAGACCCUUCAAUAUAUAAUUACUGGAAUAUGGCAAAAUUUUAUAAAAUAAAAUUUAUAUAUAUGAUGAUUUCCGAAGAUAGCCAGCUCACCAUUACUUGUUUCGUUCAUGCUUUCAUUCGAAUGCAAAUCCUUAAAAAAAAGAAACGAUGUGAAUUAGAGUAACUUGAUUUCUUAAAAAAAUUAUGAAUAUCCUUUAUCAUAAUACACUCUUUUGUAAUUUUAACUUACAUUAUUUGCAGCAAGUUAAAGCAACCUUUAUUUGCGUGCACAUUACUGAAAUGUUAAAUUGAACUUGUGUACAAGCACAGUAAAUUGCAUACAUUUGUCAAGUACUUUCCAACUGUAACUUAAAAGCUAGUAAGCAUUAGCUGUUGUAAUUUAGAAACUAAGUUAAUUUGAUUUUAUACUUGUAUGAUAAAAAAUUAUUAUAUAUAUUUACUAAUUUUGUUACAAUUAUUUAAAAAAAAAUUGUCACUACAUAUUACUAACUUUUAUUUCAUACAACAACUAUAAUUUAAAAGUUAGAACACCUUAAUAUCAAACAAGACCUAUAUGAGUUUCUGAUUCGAUUAAGACCAUUUUUGCAUGAAGUGAAAUCCAAAGCAAGCUACCUAUAGCAUCUUUCACGGCAACACUUAUACCUCCAAAACAAGUUAUGAUAAUACUCAAAUGCUUGAUUACAAGUGGGAAAGGUUGGAUUUGCCAUGACUACUUCUGGAACACUCAAAUUCUUCACAAAAGUAAAACUAAUAAAAUGAAAAUUUGUCGAUGUUGAGAGGGCAGAGAAUGGCAAGAAGAGACAUAUAUUUCCAUUGAAACUUUGCAAAUUCAAUGUCUUUUAGAUUGAGUGUCUUUUAUUUAAAAUUAUCAGGGAAGUUAAAAAUCGAGGGAGUUCAUUUAACAGAGUGGGUGAGAGUGAGUAAAACUCCAAGAUUCAAACACAGGGUAGUUAGAAGGUAAAGAGCAAACUUGUUGUUCGUCAUCUAUGGACACAGAGGAGUUAAUAUGUAAAUGCAAAGCUAUUUCUAUAUGAGAUGGCAGUGAACGAAAGCUAUCAAUUAGAAGCGGAAUGCAAGGAAAAAGAGGGAGUAUAAUGGCAAAUUCUCUAGUUGGGAAAAUUCUAUUGGCAAAGAGUGUCCACACGGAUAUGAUCAAAACUGCAUUAACACGAGCAUGGAAAACAACAAAAGAGGUGAAGAUUGAGAGCAUGAGAAACAAUAUUUUUCGGUUCAAAUUUGGGUUAGAAGUUGAUAAACAGAAAAUAAUGGCAGGAGAGCCAUGUCAUUUCGAUAAGGCUCUGAUUGUUUUGAAAGAACCCAGUGGAAUAGGAAACAUGAGAAAGGAAGAAUUCACGCAUACACGUUUUUUGGUACAAAUUCACAAUAUACCCAUAGUUUGCAUAGAGAGAGACAAUGUUCAAAAGCUGGGAGGACUGAUUGGAGAGGUGUUGGAAGUUGAAACUGACGAUGACGAGGAGUGUAUUUGUUUGUAUGCAAGAGUCAGAAUAUCCAUUGACAUCACAAAGCCAUUACAGAAAAUGGCUGGAGCUAGAAGAAAAUGAUAAAGUAGAGUUGUCAGUAUUGUAUGAACGGCUCCCAGAUUUCUGCUUUUGCUGUGGUACCAUUUGGUACCAAUUUAAAGAGUGUGAAUCAUACAUGGGGCAACCAAAAAAAAAAAAAAAACUGCCCUAUGGAGUGUACAUGAAGGCAUUGUCCAAAGUUGAAAAAACUGGGCUGAACAGGGGAAAAGAUAGAUGGAAUAGAAGGUUUGAGCAGCUCAAUAACGAACCAAAGGAAGCAAAACACCAUGGGAGUAGGCAGGCAAAACAAAUUGGUUUAGACCCGUAUAAACAUGAACCCGAGUCAAACCAAUCUAAUUCGGGAGAUCAUGAUAGUUAAACAAGGAAGAUUGGGGAGUAAUUAAUGCAAAUGACUAUAGAACUAAGAAAUUAGAAAGACACGGUCAAAAGUAACCUAACAUAGCUGAUACCGAAAAUAUAGCCGACAACUUAAACAAUCAUGGAAAAAAGAGAGAAAAAGCGGGAACGGAGAAUUGUGAGGGAAUAAAGUUAAAUUUGGCGCUAAAUUUGGAGCCAAAAUUAACUCUAAAUACAAGCCUAAAAAAAUAUCAAAGCAACUCAAGAAGUAGUAUGUGAUGGACCGAAAACAAAAAAUGUUAGGCCUAAGAGAAAGAAGUGAAAGCUGCAAGCUAGAAGUGUAAGUAGCAAAGGACACACAAAAAAAAGGCUAAUUGUGGGAAAAAGACUAGGUCGUGGAGUAAUAAGGUCAAGCCCAAAUUAUAAAAAAAACCAAGAUCCUAAGCCCACAAAAAAACUCAAUAACUAGAGAAAGCUCUUGCAAUACAUCUCCUCUUAGCUAUAAGCUCAACUAGGUUGUUUUAAGAAUGGAGAAAAUGUUAAAAACACAAACAAUGCAACUCAAUCAACGGAGGCAGAACAUCAACCCUGCCGACAGCUAUGAGGAUUCUAAGCUGGAACGUCCGGGGGAUGGGGAAUGACCAGACGUUCAUAGCUCUCCAAAAAUUCCUCACAUUGUAUAGACCUAAAUUAAUGUUUCUAUGUGAAACUAAAUUGACAUAUGUACACAUUGAAAAUGUUGGCAAGAAGCUGAAGUUUGAAAAUUGUUUUUGGGUUAGUAGAGGUGGUAAUAAUGGGGGUCUAGCUAUGCUUUGGAAUUCAGAAAAAAGGGUAGAUAUCACCUCUUUCAGCAAACACCGCAUAGAUACUAAGGUAGAAUUGAAAGUGGGAAGCAGAUGAGAUGCACUAGAAUCUACGGGCACCUAGAAACGAGUCAGAAAAAACACACCUGGACUUUAUUAAGGAGAUUAACAGGUUUAUCUUCACCCCCUUAGUUAUGCUUUGGCAAUUUCAAUGAGAUAAUGCACUUAGAUGAAAAAAAUGGAGGAAAAGACAGGGAGGUUCAUAUGAUUACAGAGUUUCGAGAUGAUGUUCAGGAUUACAAUUUGAAAGAUUUGGGUUAUACAGGCCACCCUUUUACAUGGUCUAAUAGGAGAUAUGGUAGCCACUUUGUUGAAGAACGUCUAGAUAGAUUUUUAUGUAGUAAUGAUUGGACAAAUUCUUUCUAAAACCAAGCUGCAAAAAAAUCUGAUUAUAUGGUGCUCAGACCACAAUCCGAUUUUGAUGGAAGUGAUAAACAGAGCCAAUAGAAAGCCAUAUAAUAAACGAACCUUUUCAAGAACCCAUUAUAAAGACAUGUAGAGCAACUAUGAUGAGUGUAAGAACAUUGUAAAGGAAGAAUCGGCCAAAGACUAGUCAAGGGAUAAUGCAGUGCAGCUUUUUAAACAAGCCAGCAAAUCUUCACUAACUGAAUUAAUACACUAGAGUAAGAAAACUUUUAAAGGAAGCAAGAAGAAAUUAGAGAAGCUGAUGAACAAAAUAUAAGAGCUCCAGUAGGAAAGACAGUGGGAUAGGGGUGAAGAAUUGAUAAGCAUUGAGAGGCAGAUCCAUAACCUCUUUUUAGAUGAAGAGAUCUUUUGGAAACAGAGAGAGGUUUAAGGCUGAUUGAUUGAUGGAGGGAGAUAAAAGCACUAAAUUCUUCCACUCAAAAGCUUCUUCUAAAAAGAGGAAGAACAAAAUUUGAGGAGUUAAAGAUGCAUAGGGAAAGUGGGUAGAAGAAAAUGAAGAUAUUGAGAAAGAGUUUUGCGGUUACUUUGCAGAGUUAUUUUCAACUUCCAACCCUACUCAAGAUCAAAUAGAGUGUGCUUUGAAAGGAAUGGUCUUAAAAGUUUCAACUUAAAUGAAUGAGUAUCUGACUCAACCAUAUACAGAGGAAGAGAUAAUGGAGGCUCUAAAUCAAAUGUGUCUAACCAAGACACUAGGCCCUGAUGGGCUACCGGCUGCCUUUUAUUGGAAGCACUGGCCAUUAGUUAACAUCACCACAUGUCUUCACAUCCUCAAUGAAGCAGGUAACAUUGCUCCUUUGAACCACACAUACAUUGCUUUAAUUGCCAAUAAUGUAAAGCUUAGGAAAGUGACUGAAUUUAGACCAAUAAGUCUUUGUAAUUUCAUUUAUAGGAUUGUUGUAAAACUAUUGCAAAUAGAUUGAAAACUAUCUUACAUGUUGUAAUUGAUUCUUCGUAGAGUGCUUCUAUCCCCAACAUAUUGAUAAUGGAUAAUAUCAUUGUUGGGUAUGAAUGCCACUAUAAGAUUAGGCAUAACAAAGGAAAAAAAAAUGGCUUGGUGGCUCUUAAGUUUGAUAUCAGCAAAGCUUACAAUAGGGCAUAGUGGGAUUUUUUAAAGCAGACAAUGAUCAUAUUAGGUUUUGUUAAGAAGUUGAUAAAUUUAAUUAUGAAUUGCAUUACUACGUCAUCCUUUUCUAUAAUCAUAAAUGGAAUACCAAAGGGCAAGAUUAUUCCUAAAAGGGGCUUGAGGCAGGAAUGCCCUUUAUCUCCUUAUCUGUUUAUAAUAUGUACAGAUGCUCUUUCAAAUUUGUUGAUUCAGGCUGAGAGAAGCAAGUUAAUACAUGGGUUGAAAUUUGGACAGCAUAUUUCUAUUUCUCACCUCUUAUUUGCAUAUGACAGCCUAAUUUUUUUUUCCAAAGCCUCAAUUAAAGAUUUCCAGCAUCUAAAAGAUUUGUUCGAUUGCUAUGCCAUUGCCUCUGGCCAAAUUUUUAAUUUUGAAAAGUCAUGCAUGUUCUUCAGCGGCAGUGUCUAUGCAAACCAAAUUUCAGCCAUUAAAAGAAAAUUUCAGCUCAAUGUGGUAACGAAGCAUGAGAAGUACUUAGGCCUGCCCUCAAUGAUAAGAAGGAAAAAGAAAAAUUUCUUCAAUAAGAUUAAGCUAAAAGUCCAGAGCAAGAUCUCUAGUUGGCAACAGAAACUUUUCUCGAGUUGAGGAAAAGAUGUCUUGAUAAAAGUAGUGGCACAACAAGUUAUGCAAUGAGUGUCUUCAAGAUACCUAUUGGUCUGUGUGAUGAUAUUUAGUGAGCAAUAAAAAGAAGGAAAAAAGGGGGCAUCAUUUGGAUCAGAGGGGAGAAGAUGAGUCAAGCUAAAAUUUGAGGGGGAAUGGGCUUUAGAGACAUAUCAAGUUUUAACCAAGUCAUGGUAGCUAAGCAAGGAUAGAGAUUGAUUCAAAAUCCAAAUUCCCUUGCAGCUUCUGUCUUAAAGGCUAGGUAUUUUCGAGAAGACUGAUUUUCUAAAUGCUUCAAUGGGGUCAAACCCAUCUUAUAUUUAGAGAAGCUUACUUUGGGGUCGACAAGUAAUUCUUAAUGGAUAUAGAUAGAGAAUUGGUAAUGGGUAAAACAUCUUAGCCUACAAAGGAAAUUGGAUUCCAAGACCAUCCACUUUCAAACCGUGGACACGAAGUGGCUAUAAAUAUGAAAUUUUUGAAUUCACCAAAUUGCUCCAACAGUAAAGGUAGAAAUUGGAAUAUCAUAUAUACCCUUACCAUCCCAAAAAAGAUCAAGAUUUUCAUUUGGAAAGCAGUUAAAAACUUACUACCGACAGCUGAGAAUUUGUGGAAGCGUAGAAUUAUUCAGGAAGGUCACAACAAGCAUUGUAGAAAUAGAGUGGAAAAUACUAUGCAUGCCCUAGUCACUUGCAAAGCAGCAAGAAAGGUUUGGCAGCUUUCAUCAAUGGUGAAUGCAAUUCAACAGAUGAGAAAUGCAAACCUCUUGGGGGAUUUGAUGAUGCUUCAGAAGAAAUUAAGUAAAGCUGAACUUGAGCUUGUGGUGUCAAUGUGGUGGGUGAUUUGGCAUGCUAGAAAUAAAUUUGUAUUUGAAGGUGUAAAGUUGGAUCAAGGAUUGCAAAUGGCCAAAGCUGAAGCAGUCAAUGAAGUUUUUAGAAGAACAAAUUUUCCAGAGAUGUUGAAUCUAGGAAAAAUGCAGAAGGAAAAACCAAAAUCCUAGACCCCUCCACCCGAUGGAUGGCUAAAGAUAAAUGUUGAUGCAACUACUGACACCAAAAGACAAUGCUCGGGAUUGGGAGCAAUAAUCAGAGACUCCACUGGAAAGUGCUUAGCUGCAGCUAUAAAAACCUCAAGGUUUGGGAGAGAUGUAACAUAUGUGGAAGUAAACGCAGCUGAGUAGGGCAUCAAAAUAGCACAGGAAGCAGGUCUACAGUCAAUUAUCCUAGAAACUGAUUCUCAUGAAGUACCAGAAUUGAUAAACAACAGAGAAGGCAGCCUAACAGAAAUAUAUUUGGUCAUUGCAGAAAUUCAAGAUUUAAAAAAGAAUUUCAAAGCCUUUAAAGCACAAUAUGUCCCUAGAUAAUUUAAUGAGUGUGCCUAAUCUUUAACUAAGAUGGCUAUUGAAAAAUUUGAAUAUGUUGUUUGGGUGGAGAAUUUUCAUUCUGAAAUUUUGUAAGUUUUCACUUCGUUCAAUUAAUGAAAGUUUUACUUUCCCAUAAAAAUAAAAACUUGUAAAACCACGAAUUCUACUGUAGGUGAAGAUUGCCAUAUAUGAAAUUUUUAUAAAAAAAAUGAAUCUUAUUUUCGAUGUGAAGAUUAUCAAAUAUAGAAUUUUUAUUAAGAAAAAUUCUUAAUUUUUGGAUAAUUAUGAAUGGGAGUAAUAAUAUGGAGAUAUCUAAAAAUUAGACUUCCUUAUAUAUGCAACUUAAAUAACAUCUUUGAAAUGUUAGAAGAAUAAUUAUUCAUUAGCGUAUUAAUCAAAUAAAUUUCAAAUAUUGGGGUCUUCCUAAAAAUUGGAGCAUCAUUUAGUUAACCUAAUACUAAAGCCGCUCUUGAAUAUGUUAUGGAAGCCAUGCUAAAUUUCAAGGGUUUAAGAUUCUUAGAAAAGGCUAUGCUUAUCUCAAAUGGUACAAAAAGGAACUCCCUAAUGUGAAUUGAAUGGACACUCAAUCCUCUAAUUGCUAGUAGUUUAAGAUCCUCAUGUUAAUUGUUCCAUAUCUUGAUCUCAUUGAGUUUACUAAGACCAACUAACUCGAGACCUUUAACCAUCUCCAAUCUCUGAGACUUAUAACCUCAAUCACAAACACCUAGUCAAUUAAAUUUUUAAUAACAUGAUCAUCCGCUUCAACUGACGACAAAUAUAAUUGUCUCAAAAAAGGUAACAUCACGCUUGUUGGUAACUCAAGCUUACAGCCAUUUAACACUAAGGUAAGACGUGUUUGGGAUUGAGGUGUUGUACCUUUUAAGUUACACCUUCUGUGAAAAAAAAAUAAGCUAUAAGUAUGAAAGUACUUUUUUUUUCCUCCGGAAAGAUUAACAAAAUAAAGAAUUAAUUGGUAAAACUAUGAAUUCUACUGUAUGUGAAGAUUGUCAUAUAUGAAAUUUUUACAAAAAAAUGAAUUUUAUUUUUGAGGUGAAAAUUAUCACAUAUAGAUUUUUAUUAAGAAAAAAAUCUUAAUUUCUGGAUAGGGAAAUUAUUGACCGUUCACCCGUUUUUUUCAAUUUUUUCAAAAAUACACAAUUUUUUUUUUUUACUGGAAUCCACCUGAACUUAUAUUUAUUUUCACUCGUCCACUUCCGUUUGGAGACUGUUAAGAAAACUAACGGAAUAUUGUAUAAAUAAUUUUUUUACCCUCAAAUGUAAAAGAUAAAUUAUCCACUGACCACUUUUUUUUUCAUAUUAUUUCAAAAAUACACAAUUCUUAAUUUUUUGUUUGUUGAACUUAGGGAUGGCAACUGGAUCGCUCCAUAAUGGAUAUCCAAAAUAUCCAUCCAAUUGGAUCGGAUAAUAUCCAUCCAAAAUUUUUUGGAUCUUGAAAUGGAUAUUUUAAAAUUAUAUCCAGAUGGAUAUUGAUAAUUAUUUUUAUCCAAUGGAUAUCCGUUUAACCUAACACAAGUUUAAAAAAUUUUAAUUUUAUAAAAUUAAAAAUUAAAAAUAUAAUAAACAAACAAUUGUAAAAAUAUUAUAUUAACUAGUGAAAAUUUAAAUUCCUCUUAUAUUAAAAACUAAAGUUUUCAAAAUUACCCUUUAAUUUUUUAACUUAUUUAAUGCUAUUAAUAAUUAUUAUUUUAUUUUAUUAAUUUAAUAUUAUAAAUGGACCUCUAUCGGAAAGUCGCCGGACCACCACCGAACCUCGCCGGACCACCACCGAACCUCGCCGGACCACCGUCGGACAUCGCCGGAAUGUCGCCGGAAUUACCGUCGGACCUCGCCGGAAGGUCGCCGCAUCUCCGCCGGAAAGUUGCCGGACCGCCGCCACCAACCACCAAACCGCCAUUUUAUUUUAUAUAUAUAUAUAUAUAUAUAUAUUAUUACUAAUAUAAAUAGUUUAAUAGCUAAAUUUGAUAUUGGAAUUUUAACUAUUUUAUAUUAUUAUUUUUAUAUAAUAAAAAUAAAAUAUCCAUGGAUCUCCAUAGCUAUAUGGAUAAAAUCCAUAUCCAUUAUGGAUAAUUAUGGAUUUGUAUUUGGAUGGAUAUUAUCCAUCCAUAAUUGGAUAUUUGCCAUCCCUAGUUGAACUCUACUUGAAGUUAUAUUGGUUUGCAUUUGUCCACCACUAUAUUGUUGUGAAAUGACAAUUUUACCCUUAUGAUGUCAACAAAGUUCUAACGGUGUUAUAAUGAAAGUGGACCAAUGAAAAAAAUAUUAACUUCAGAUGGAGCGCUGCAAAAAAAAAAAUUUGUGUAUUUUUUGAAAAUGGUGAAAAAACAGAUGGAUGAUGGAUAAUUUCUCUUCUGGAUAAUUAUGAAUGAGAGUAAUAAUAAUGAGAUAUCUAAAAAUUAGGCUUUCUUAUAUAUGCAACUUAAAUAACAUCUUUGAGAUGUUAGAAGAAUAAUUACUCAUUAGUGUAUUAAUCAAAUAAAUUUCAAAUAUUGGAGACUUCCUAAAAAUUGGAGCAUCAUUUAGUUAACCUAAUAGUAAAGCCGCUCUUGAAUCUGUCAUGGAAGCCAUUCUAAAUUUCAAGGGUUUAAGAUUCUUGGAAAAGGCUAUGCUAAUCUCAAAUGGUACAAACAGGAACUCCCUAAUGUGAAUUGAAUGGACACUCAAUCCUCUGAUAGCCAGGAGUUUAAGACCUCGUAUUAAUUGUUCCACAUCUUGAUCUCAUUGAGUUUACUAAGACCAACUAACUCGAGACCUUUAAUCAUCUCCAAUCUCUUAGACUUAUAACCUCAAUCAUGGACACCCAACAAUUAAAUUUUUAAUAAAACUUUUAAUAACAUGAUCAUCUACUUCAACUGACGACAGAUAUAAUUGUUUCAAAGAAGGUAAUAUCACGCUUGCUGGUAACUCAAGCUCACAACCAUUUAACGCUAAGGUAAUGCCUAUUUGGGAUUGAGGUGUUGUACAUUUUAAGUUACACCUUCUGUGGAAAAAAAAAACUAUAAUUAAGAAAUAAAAGUUAAUAUUAUGUUGUAAAUAUAAUUUUUUUACUAAUAAUUUUAACAAAAUUAGUAAAGAUAUAAUAGAUAUUUUAUCAUACAAGUAUACUGUCAAAUUAACUUAACUUCCAAGUUACAGCAAUUUGUGUUUACCAAACAUUUUGGUGCUAUACUUUUUAAGCUCCAACUACCCAACCUCAAUCCUAAAUAAAACAGUAGUUAACGAUUUCAACAAGAAACCAUUUAACAUUAUUUUCAAUUGCAUAGCAACUGCGUUGGUGAUGAAUAGUGCUUUUAUUUUGUUACAGUGCACAUAAAUACGAUGAAAAAACUUUGAAUCAAGUACCGAAAAUGGGAAUCUAAGCCAUGCUUGUUCCCACAUUUUAGAUAAAACGCGUGUUUCAACUACUUGUUUGAAUGGGAGUAAUGGCAAAAUAUGAUGCCUAUGUGCUUUUGCAAAUUAGAUGUCCUUUUUCUUAUUCAGUUACUAGAAUAUAGAACCGCACUUUGCGCGAUUUUGAAAAAAAAAUUUAGUAUUAUCUUUUUUUUCUUAUUUUACUUUUAACGGUUUAUUCCAUUCGAUUAAGAGGCAAGACUUCCAAAAAAAAAAAUGUAAAGCUAAAAUUAAAGACUUUUUUUAGUUAUUAAAAAAAUGAAAAAAACUAUUAGCCAGCAACACAAAUAAAGAAGCAACGCAAGAUAAAGAAUAAAAUGAGAGAAUAUAUUAUAGAGUGAUUUUAUUCGUUCCAAUUGUGUGUGUACAAAAUAAAAAAAUGAGCUCUCAUUUUAUAGUUACAUAAUCACUCCAUGAAAUUAAUGAAAAAUUAUGGAUCCUAAUUCCUUGUGAGAUAGUGGGAGUUAUAGGGAAGCUAAAGGUUGUUAAUGAGAGAUAGUGGGGAGACUAAGAGAUAUAUAUUAUGAACAUCCACAUUUAUUUUAAUAAAUUCAUAACACUCCCCCUUGGAUGUUCAUUACAAAGAAUAUGUCUCAUUAAAACAUUUACAUAAUUGUUAUUGUGUAAUACAAUCAAAUUAAUUAUGAGAAGAUGAAAAACCAAAUUUGAAAAAAAAAUCUCUAUUUAUUAGAUAAUAAAAAAUAUAUAAAGAUGAGAAAUAGUGAUGCCACAUCACCUCCUCUAGUCCUAUCUUUAUAUAUAUAUAUAUAUUCUCCCAACAUCACAGGCCUCCCUCAAUUAACCACUCUCAAGCCGAUUAAUAAAUUUAUUAAUUAUAUAGAUCAUGUUCUUACUCAUCAACAACAUAAUUAGAACUGAAUCUAAAUCCAAAUUAUUUUGAAUUAAUAUGGAUUAUGAUAUCUAGGCAUGCAUGGACAAAUUGAAAUUUAGUCUAAUUCAGCUUAAUUUAUUCUUUAAUGAGAAAAUAAAUUCGAACAAAAAUGACCCACAAAAGAUAAUUACAGAGAAACAUACAAUAUACAUUUAGAAAUUGGUUUAAGAAAUAUAGGUAGUGUUUACUUGCUGGAGUAGGAGUGUGGAGUGUGGAUUCUUCCCACUCCAGUGUUUACUUACCUUAAAAAAGGGGGGAGUGGGAGUGGGAAUCCAUGGGUCCCACUCAAUUUUGGAGUGGGGAGUGAGAUUCCCACUCCCAUGGGGGGAGGUGGGAGUGGGAAUCCACUCCCCCCUCUUCCCAUUUUAUCCUUAUAAUUAAAAUUAAAAUAAAUAAAUAAUAUUUAAUAAAAUAAAUAAUAUCAUAUUUAUUAAAAAUAAUAAUUAUAUCAUAUUUAUUUUAUUAAAUUUAAUAAAAUAAAAAUAAAUAAAUAUUAUAUUUAAAUUAAUAAUAUUAAACAUUAAUUUUAAUAAAUAUUAAUUAUUUAUUUAAUUAAUAAUAAUAAAUAUUUUAUUCUAAAAAAUAUUAAUUUUGUACUAUAUUAUCAAUAAUAAUAUUUCAUUUGUGUUGCUAUUAUUAAUAAUUUUUAUUCACAUAAUUUAAAUUUAAAUUAAUAAAAAAUUAUGGUUUACAUAAUUAAGAAUAUUAGUAAUUAUUAUUAAUUUAUAAAUAUAAUAAAAUAUUUAUUUUAUUUUCCAAAUAUAUUUUUUAUUAAUUUUUUAAUUACAAAUUAUAAUUCUGUACAUAAGGAUAAAAUUGUAAUUUAAAAUAAUUUACUCCCAAUCCAAGACAAAGUAAACAAAUAAUUGGAAUUCUGAUUGACAAUCCAUACUUUCAUUUAGUCUAAAUAAACACCCUACUCCCACUCUCACUCCCACUCCACACUCCUAAUCCAAGGAUUCCCACUCCAAUCCAAAAAGUAAACGCAACAAUAAUAUCUGUCAACCAUCAACAAUCUCGCCGUCUAAAGCAGCAGCAAACAUAUAAUAAUGGUUCUCAAACAUUGUUAAAUCCCUUAACACUUUAGAAUAAAUCAAUAUAGGAAAUGAUUGGUAAAUGCUUAUUUAUUCCUUAUAUUUUGAGUUAAGUGCUCAUUUAAUUUUUUUAUUUAAAAUAUAUAUUAAAACAAAAAAAGACAACAAACAAACGAAAAAAAAGAAAAAAUGAUUUCCAGAGAAAGUCUUGAACUCUUAUGAUAUAGGAUCUUGAACUAUCUUAAAAGACAUUAUAAAAUAUAAAAGGCUAAACGGUCAUGAAUAUGUACUCGGAAAUAAAAAAAUUAUUAUUUUUUUGUAUUUUGUUUAAGUGAACAUUCAAACAUCAUUUAUUUUUAAAUUUCAAAAUUCUUUACUUUUAUAUGAUAUAUAUCAUAAUAAUUCAUAAAAGAAAAUUGUAUGUAUUCUAUCUCUAAAAUAAAUUUAAAAAAAACUUACAAAUGAUUAAGAUAUAAUAAAUUAUUAUUAUUAUUAUUAUUUUAUUGAUGAUGAUGACAACAACGACGGCGACCAUGAUGAUGAUAUACAAAUAAAUAUUUGCUUUAAUAUUUUUUUUUUAAAUAUUUGUUAAGUAUAAAACUCUACUCAAGUCGAAUAAAUAUAUGCUUCAAUACACUUGAGAUAUGGCUAAAUGUCAAAAACAACCACAAACAUGAGAAACUGGAUGCAAUAGUCCUUCCGUUUGAAAAAUGUUCGAUAGAACCUUUCGUCUUAAUUCGACAAAAAUAUAAAAUAAAUUAGGAUUACGAGGUGGUUAAAAGACUACAAAUACAUUAAUCUUUUAUUAAAAAUUAUAAAUACGUUAAUCUGCAUGAAGAUUUUUAUUCUAAUUCAAACAAAGAAAAAAGACUUUGGUUUUUCAAACACUUUUUAAACCAAAGAAAAGAAAUCCAACAAACUUACUAUGAUUUUGUGAAUCUUCAUAAAGCUCAUAUAUUGUUUUUUGAUUGGUUCGAAAUAUAUUCUUCUGAUAAUAACAUCUCUUAUCCUUUUAAAGAGUCAAACCCUAUUACUAUUAGGAAAAAAGUUCCUGAAUGGAAACUUCUCGAUAGUAAUAGAACUAUAGAAUCAGAACACCCACCUCUUCGGAGUUUAACCAUUGAUCAUGGUGAACCUCCUGUCGAAAUUCGAGCUUCACCUUACAAAAUUCCAAAGCCAAAUGAUUCCGAGGCAAAUUUAAGUAGUGUUAUCCAACAGAAUAAUUUCUGUAAUACUAACUUAAAUACAAUCGGAAAGCAGUUGACUAGGAUAGAGAACCAAAUCCAGAAGUCAACCAUUUCUGUUCCAUCAAUUUCUCCUAUUCCAACAAAAUCGGAUUCUGACAAAAAGCUUAAGGAACCUAUUUUCAAACCCUUUCAGGUUUCGAAAACUAGCCAGAAGCUUGUUCAAGAGUCAAAAUCAGAUUUUGCUAAAGCCAUUAGAGAACAAUUAGAUAGGAUAGAAGCUGCUUCUUCCUCAUCUAGCAAAGCCCAAAUAGCCCCUGAUACUCCUCAAUCUAGCAAGAUUGGAGUAUUAGAAAAAGAUGACCAAACCUCUAUAGCCUCUUCGGAUGUUGAAGCCUUCCAAGAGGAACCCAUUCCUAAAGCAAACAAAAUCCAUUGGGAAUUAGCUCUUCCCACUGUCAAAACUCCACCGGAUCUAGCAAUAGAUAAUAGACCAAGUGCAUUAAAUCAGUCUAGGUAUAAUGCAUCUUCAGUCUAUGAGUGGAAUAUUGACGGCAUGUCAGAAUACAAUAUCCUAGGAUUGUUGCAACAGAUGACAAUGGCAGCUAAUGCCUAUAAAACCCGCUCAAGUUGUUUCGGAAUCGCUGGUGGAGCGGCUCCUUCAAGAAUCCAUUCUUCUGGAAGAUGGACAUCUUUCCAUUGAAUAGGUUUUGGAAUGACAGUGUUGGCUCUAGACAAAUCAGUCUGCAAGAGAAGAGUCUCAUCUCUUUUUGACUGGAAUUUAUGUUGUGUACUGAAUGCAGUGAUCAUUGCCUUAUAUGAGAUUUUAAAAAUUAAGGCAACUGGGAUGGAUCCCUCAAUCAUAUUAUAAUUAUGGGUUUUGAUUUGUAAAAUCAUGCUUUUCAAAAUAUUCUUAUCUUUAAGAGAAAUUGUUAUGUUUGGAUAACAAUCAAAUGAGAUUGGACCUUUACAGAGACUGGAUUCGAUGCUACUUAGCAAAGAAUCAUCAAAAGAGAUGAAUCGUCCAUCUCUUAGGACAGCAAGGAUAGAAGUAUCCAAGCCUUCUUUGGUUAAGGGUUUUAUACCGACUUGAAUAAGACCUAUGUGAACAUAAUUGAAAUUCUUUUCCUUUAAUUUCUUUAAAGAAUGCUCAGAAAACAAGUGGAUUGUUUCAAAAGGAUUUGAAAGAGUUAUAUCACGCUCUUCAGUCUUUAUGAUAUAAUCAUUCUUUAAAAAAUUUCGCAGCUGAAAAUGUACGCUUGUUGAAAAAUCUUUUAAAUAAGUAAAACAAAAACUAUAUAUUAUGAUGAACAAAAAGGUUUGAUAAAUUUAUAACAAAAUCUAAUUACCUUGAUUGAGAUAAUAACUAUGGAAAAUAGACCACUAGUGAAACGGACAAGGUAGCACUUUUACUGGGUGAAGGAAAUUUGGGAAAGCGGAAAGCAACUAAUUAAAAAAUUAUAACAAAAACUUUCCAUGUGGAGUAAUUUUUUUUAAAAUUAUUUUAGGGAAAUAAUAAAAAAUUUUAGGCCGGCAUCUCGAAUAUAAAGUAGUAAUAAAAUUAUUAAGCAUCAAAUUAGACUUAUACAUCGCCUUAUCACAAUUUUUCUUUAUAGUGACAUGUGAUUUUUUUUUAUCCUAAUAAAGAAGAGAUCCCUUCAACUAAUUUCAAUAUUUUGAGUAUUGACAAAGACAGAUAACUUCCGUUUGAGUACAUUAUAGAUUAAUUUGUCAUCGCUGAAGUCACUCCAAUUAUAUGAUGUUUUGAUAUUCUUAAUUAAAACCAAUUUCAUGUUUCUUUAAAUAUAAUUUUUAAUUCUAUUUUACUUUCUUUGUUGGUACUACUUGAUUUUUAAAUCAUUUAAUUAUCAGCACUGAUGUUUGCCCCGGGUCAAAUCCCGGGUCAAACCCCGAAACUGGCUAAAACGACAUCGUUUUGUCUAUUAAUUUUUUUGUUUUUAUUCGCUAUGAAACGACGACGUUUUGCUUGGAUAAAUCACAAAAGCAGCAAUAGAACCAAGUUGUUUCUUUGUCUUCGUUCUCGUUUCACCAAACAGCAAGAACCCAUGGAAAAAAGAAAAAGGGGAAGCUUUUGGAAUGACAGAUUUCAAAUCUAAGCACAAUCUCUGUCCGUUCCUUUAAUUUCUCUUUAUCUACAUAGAUUUAUCAUCACAUCACUGAUUACAUAACGAUAGUUAAUUAAUAUUCUCUCUUGCCCUGUAAACAAAUCUUAGAGAAAAUACAAUUAAUUAUCUCUCAAAAACACUUAAAUGACCAUCGAUUAAUUCAACAUCACCCAGAACAAACUGGCUCUUCCUUUAUAUUUUCCGACAACGGCUUCCUUAACCUACAUGAAACUAAUCUAUACUUGAACUCCGGCACCGGAAAGUACCCAUCAUGAACACCCUCCAAGGAAAAUGAUGUUUCCGUUAAGAGAACAAAGAGGAAGAAGCAGUUGGAUUAAGAGACCGAAGAGGAAGGAAGAAGCAGCUGGUUCUGUUUUUUUCACUCUUUACGUUGGCAAAGGAAAAUGAUGUUUGUGUUACUAAGGGUUCUGCAGCAACGAAGAGGAAAGGAAGAAGCAGCUGGGUGAAGAAAACGAAGAGGAAAAGUUCUGUUUUUGCACUUUAUACAAGCCAAAAUGACAUCGUUUCUCAGCAAAUUAAAAUGAGAAAAAUAAGUGCCAAAACGACGCCAUUUCAAUUGUUUCGGGGUUUGACCCGGGAUUUGACCCGGGGCAAACAUCAUUUUCCUUUAAUUAUACAUAUUUUUUAGGCACCCUAAACUUUCAUUCCAGUACAAUCAGCACAAUAAUUUAGGGUUAUUCUACUAAUAAUGUAACUUUUAAAAUACUAUGCGUUUUAAAAAAUAAUUGUAUGUGUGCUAAAUUUUAUUGCUAAAUUGCUAUAAGAAUGUAAACGAUUGAACUAGACUUACUGUUAAAUUGAAUUUAUUUAUAUAUUUAUAAAUAUGUAUAUAAAAUAUUUUUAUUUUGUAUAAAUGAUAAUUGAUAACUAAAAUAAAUAUUUUAUAUUAUUAAUUUUUUUUGUUAUCUUAACAUAAUGGGAAGUAAUAAUAUUUUUUUAAGUUAAUGAUUUUAUUUCCUAAUUAAAAAGGAUAAUUUUAGAUUUAUAUAAUAAAUUUGAGAAUAUGUAUGAAAUUAUGUUAGGUAGAAAAUUGAUUCUUAAAUCAAAUUUUGAAAAACUACUUAUUCUCAAUUUUUUAAAAUCCAUUAUAAAAUUAAACUAAGUUUACCAAAAAUAAUUUUUUAAAAAUUAUCAAAAUCUAAAAUUAACUAUUAACUUUUAAAAAUUAUUUUUAAAUUUCUCAACAAUAAUUCCAAACAACCCUUAGAAUCUCAUUAUUAAAAAUAGGGUCCGCCUAUGUUGCAACAGUUGCAACAUACCACUACUUUUGUCAUUUUGUAAUUUAACCAUAGGAUCCAAGGCAAGAAUGGUAAAAGCAAAUCCAACGGUAGGGUGUAUUUAUUUUGGUUUUUUUCAUUGCAAUCCCUCUUGUUUUUUGAAAUGUCAAGAAAAAAUAUAAUUAUUAUUAUUUUAUUUAUUAGCUUAGUUGUUAAAUGAUAUGAAUAAGGAAUAAGUAUGAAAUUUAAGAGGACUUUUAUUAUUGAUAUUGGGCAAUUACAAUGCAUGAUUUAAUACUCGUUUAUUUAUUCCAAAAAUUCAUAAAUAUUUCAUAAUUUAUUAAUUAUUACUAUCAUUUCUAGAUCUACUCUCAUUAUUUAAAUUUAUUAAUUAUUAUAUAUUAAUUAUUAUUUUUAUAUUAAUUAUUAAUAUAUAAAUAUAAUAUGAUAUAAUAAAAUAAUAUUAUAAUAUAAUUUAUUUUUAAGAUUAUAAUUAUUAUAGUAAAAAUAAAAAUAUAAUUUAAAUAUAUUUAAUGUUUCAAUUAAGACAAAAGUUAGCACACUGUAGUGAAUUAUAUAAUUGACUACAAUCUAACUUUUAAAACUUCCAAACAUAAGUAAGUAAUAAAUUAAUGUGAACAAUAUUAUAACAAUAUACAAUAUUAUGUUCUAAACACAUUAUAAUGGUGCGUUUAUUAAAUCAGAAUUGAAAAUGAGCUAGACUUGUAAUAAGAAAUUUGAAUUAGAAUAAGUUAUUUACUUGAGCUAUACGAAUUGGAAUCAGAAUGAACAACAUUCCAAUUGAUGUGUUUACUUUAUUUUAUAAUUGGAAUAGGCUAUUAUAAGUUAUUAAAAUGCCAUUUGUUAAUUGUGUCACUAAUAUUAUUUGUAUAUAUUAUAAUUAAAACAAUAAUAAUAAUAAUAAUAAUACUAAAAAUAAUAAUUAUGACAAUAAUGUUAAUUAAAACAAAAAAUUAAAAAAAUUUAACAAUAAUAAUAAUAACAACAAAAUUAACUGAAAUAAUAAUAUUAAUAAUGAUAAUAAAAAAAUAAUAAAAAUUAUUAAUAAGUUUUAAUAAUAAUAAUAACAACAAUAAUUAAUAAUAAUUAAAAUAAUAAAGUUAAUAUAUUUUAAUAACAAUAAUUUUAAUCAUAACAAGAUAAAUAUUAAUAUUAAUGAAAUAAUUACAGUAUAAUAACAAUUAAAAUAAUAAAAGUAAUAAAUUUUAAUAAAAAUAAUGAUAGUAAAAAUCAUAAAUAAUAAUUAAAAUAAAUAAAAAUAAUAAAAUUUAAUAGUAAUAAUCUUAUAUAAUAAUAAUAAUGAUAUUAAUAAUAAUAAUAAUAAUAAAAAAUUAAAAUUCUUUUUAAAUAUCAUUUUAUUUCAAAAAUGGACUUAUAUGUAAACGUUUGUUACUUUUAGUGGCUAUUAAAUUUUACAAAAAAUAUAAAAUAGUGUAGUGUAAUCGAAAGGACCAAAGUUGUUGUAUGUUGCAACUUGCAACUGUUGCAAAAUAGGCGGCUCCUUAAAAAUAAAGGCAUAUUGGUUAGUUGUUCAAAUACAGGCAACAGCAGCCAGCUACGUACUUGCAAACGUCACGUGCCAGCGAUUAAAAGCAUUUUAAACAUAUGUGAACAUUGAAUCCAAUGGCAAUGGAGACUGAUUCGACCCUCGUCGAAUUUUUUCAUAUUCCAAAACGGUCGACCCAUUUCGGUCUAUAAAUACCCAAUUGAACCCUUCCGUUUCUUUAAUCAUUUUAUUUUCAGACGCGUUAAGGAUUCUCAAUUUGCUUGUAAUUCUACUAAACAUGGGAAACAGAGCAGAGGAGGCUAAGCAAAAUCAAGAAGAGAACAACGGUAACAUGGCCAUUGAAACUCCCAUCAUCCCUCUUCUCACUCCUUACAAUAUGGGCAGUCUCAAUCUUUCUCAUAGGUACCGAUUGUACCCACCUUUUAUUUCAUUGAGUUUUUUAUUUUUAUUUUUAUUUUUUGGAUUUACAUUUUCUUUCGCUGUAUGGAUUUUUGUAUGGCGUUAACUUUAUUGACGAAAGUGACAUCUGCCAAAGUACAUUUGAGUGACGAGCAUUCACAUCAUGAGCAUUCAGAUUCUCAUUGUUUAUCCAGGGCUCAGCGCAAACUCAGUUGACCACUGAAUCCUUGUCCAUUUAGAAUGAAUGGAUUAGUGAAUAUUUGGAAUGGAUUAGGAAAUAUUUGGGAUUUAGUUACUGUGGUUUUUAAUUCACAGUCUCUAUGUGGAGUGAAUCAGUAGCUAUCGAGUAAAACUGUUGGUGUUUAAGGAACACUUUUUAACUGUCCUUUUUGGGUAAUUAAGCAGAAGCACGCCCGGUUAUUAACUUAUAAUACCCUUAACUGAUUAGAAUGUAUGAUCUGAUUUAGUUUCUGUAUCUUCUUUGUAUUUGUUCGUUUGGUCUAUGAUCUGACUGAGAGUUUUACAGAGGCAGUUUAAGUGUAAUGUUGCAAUUUUAUGGGUUUUUUUCUUUUGAGUUUGAGUUAUUGGUGAUGGGGCUAAUUGAAUUGCGGCUUGCUUGUUUUGUUUAUUUCAGAGUUGUUUUGGCACCACUGACUAGACAGAGAUCAUACAACAAUGUUCCUCAGCCACAUGCCAUUUUGUAUUACUCUCAAAGAACCACCAAAGGGGGUUUGCUUAUAGCCGAAGCCACUGGAGUUUCCGACACUGCUCAAGGGUAAUUUUACAUCCGUUUAACUGUUUUAAGAGUUUUUUGAGGUAUUAAAUAGAUAGGAAAUUGUAUGUUUGAGUUUCGAAAGCAUUACCUGUAUUUAGUUGCUUGAAAAUCUUGUGUGUUCUGUUGUUUGUUUUAUUGUAAGGUAUCCAGAUACACCUGGUAUCUGGACAAAGGAGCAAGUUGAAGCAUGGAAACCGAUUGUAGAUGCUGUUCAUGCCAAAGGUGGGAUCUUCUUUUGUCAGAUUUGGCACGUUGGCAGGGUUUCAAAUCAAGGUGUGUUCUAUAUCUCUCUCUUCUAUUGACAGUUACUGGUUACUUAGUUAUCAGGAUCAUACAUACAUUUUAUUUCUGACAAUAAGAUAAGGUACCGUGAACUUAAGCUAUUGAAUUGCAGUAACUUGCAGUAAUCUAAUAUGAGGCAAGUGUUGAGAGAAUAAGCAGCUCGGAUUAAUCAAAUGCUCAAAUUGAGUACUGAUCAUCCUACAGAUGCACCAUCCUUUUGCAUUUUAUUUUCAGUUAAUAAAAUGACAUUCAAUAGUUUUUUUACAACCUCCAUGUGAUGGAUCUGACUGAUUUUAUAGAAAUUUGAGAAUCAUUUCAACUGGAUCUUCAUUGGUUUUUCCUGUCGUCAAACUGUACAGAUUAUCAGCCAAAUGGUCAAGCUCCAAUUUCCAGUACAGACAAGCCAUUGACCCCUCAAAUCCGCGCUAAUGGUGUUGAUAUUGCACAAUUCACUCCUCCAAGGCGGCUAAGGACAGAUGAAAUCCCUCAAAUUGUGAAUGAUUUCAGGCUUGCUGCAAGAAACGCAAUUGAGGCUGGUAAAUUCUUUUUCUGAAAUUAAAAAUUGAAUUGUGGGCAAUAAGUGUUUUAAGGUCGCCACAGGAUGGGUGAUAUUUCACUGGUCUACUUUUCUUGAGAUUAAGGAAAAUAGUAUAAAAGAAUAGUGAGAUUCUUCCAUUCCAUGCAUGGCUAUCAGAAGGAAAGGAAAACUAAACAUAAAUGCAUUAAUAGAUUUUUACUAGGCUUUUGUGGCUUGUAAAUAAUGUUGUUUUAUUGUACUGUAAGGUUUAUGUGAAAACAGUUAAGUUUCUUUACAAUUAUGCUUAUUGUCCCAUAGUUGUAUUUAUCAUAUUGAAUAAAGAAUUUGAAAACUUAAACCUUACCUAAAUGUGUCAUUAAUGUAAAUGGAGUCAUUACAAUAGUCGGAUUAUUUGGAAUGGGUUCUAGAAUCUUACAUGUGACUCCUUUUGUCAUCUAAAAUGAUGGUUGAGACUUUGUUUUUUAUGAUCUUAUCAACUGUUUUGUUGUUAGUUAAAGUAGGGAUUGAGUACCUGCAACUCUGAGUAGUUUUGUAGCUUUCUGCCUGCAUCUCUGAGACAUCACAAAACUGCCUAGGAUUAACUUUGAGAGCCAACCUAGUAAAUGCUUAAAUACUUUUUCUUCUUCUUAAAAUGAAAGCCAGACCCUCCGUUUGUCUGUCCGCACAAUGCGAGCCUCAGAGCUUUUAGUUAUAUGAGAAGAGGUAGAUAAAUGGAGUGUUCAUGCUGUACAGGUUUUUGGUUUCUAACUUUGUCUUAUACUGUAUAGGUUUCGAUGGCAUUGAGCUCCACGGUGCACAUGGCUACCUAAUUGACCAAUUUAUGAAGGAUCAAGUGAAUGAUCGAACAGACCAGUAUGGAGGAUCCUUAGAGAAUCGUUGCCGUUUUGCUUUAGAAAUAGUUGAAGCUGUUUCCAAUGAAAUAGGGGCAGAUAGGGUUGGGAUAAGACUAUCUCCGUUUGCAAACUAUAUGGAAUCAGGAGACUCUAACCCAGAAGCUUUAGGUCUUUACAUGGCAGAAUCCUUGAACAAAUAUGGUAUCCUCUAUUGUCACAUGGUUGAGCCAAGGAUGAAAACAGUUGGAGAAAAAUCUGAAUGUCCUCACAGUUUGCUGCCCAUGAGAAAGGCUUUCAAGGGUACUUUUCUUGUCGCUGGGGGUUAUGACAGGGAAGAUGGAAACAAAGCUAUUGCUGAAGGCCGUGCAGAUCUUGUUGUUUAUGGUCGCUUGUUCUUGGCUAAUCCAGAUUUACCCAGGAGAUUUGAGCUCAAUGCUCCCCUCAAUAAGUACAACAGAGAAACAUUCUACACAUCCGAUCCUGUUGUUGGUUACACAGAUUAUCCAUUUCUCAACACCUCUUCUUUGGUUACCAAGAAAAAUGAUUAGACUGAUAAAGCAUUAUCUCGGAUUUAAUCCUGUUUUCUGAUUGUUUAUAGAUGUACUGUGUUUAUGUAAAAGCCAAUAUAGGUUAUCUCAAUAAAAUUGUAUUGGCGUAAGGCCAAGCUCUAUACCUAUACGUUUCACAUACACUUCCUCUCUCAUUCCAAUUGAGACUGCAAUUCUCAAAAAUCACAAGGAUAAAAGAAAGACGAAGCAUUGUGGAAUCAAACUCAAAACCAUCCUUUCGUCUCAUAAAUUGGAAAACGAAUUAACAUGGAGCAAUUCAUCACCAGCAUGUUUGAAUACAUACUUAGCUUUCCCUUCCGUUAAUUUCAAAAUACUUACACUACUCCAAAUUGACAAAACAUAAAACAGGUCUUCACACGUGUGCAUACGGGCUUGGCCCAUUUCUCAGCCAUUUGAUGAAAACUAAAUUUAUAUAUUAUUUUGGAUUAAAAUCAGUUAGUAGAAUUGAUUUGAAUUGGUCAAGGUUCGUAUCUAAAAUAAAAUAUUUAAUCUAAAACUAUAAAAGAGUAAAACUAAACCUAAUUGUAUUCGAUUAACACCACACAUGUACAGAAUAACAAUGACACAUCUCUUUCUUCUAUAGUACUUUUUGUCUAAAAAUGUACUAGAAUGAAAGGAGACUGAAGCCUAUUUUGGCUUUUUCAUUCGCUCACUAGUUGGGUGUUCUUUUACAAUUUUCCAUAGUACUUCUCGAAGGAAUUUGGGUGAUUAACUCCGUCUUUUAGCUUUUAUUUGCGGAUAAUAUAGGGUAGGUGAGCUAAGUUAUUGCUGGAUUCAUAGCUAAGUAUGGAUACAGAGGAUUUAUUGCGCAAGGGUCAGGCUGUCGUUCUAAAAGAAGAAGAAGCAGGCAUAGUAGCAUUCAUGGGGCAAAUGAGGAUUAAGGGAGAAGAAGUUGCUGCGAAUUGUCUAGUAGGGAAGGUGUUGCUUUCACGAAGCAUAAACAAGGAAGGCUUGAAAGCAGCUAUGCAAAUAGCUUGGAGAACAGUGAAGGAGGUAAAAAUUGAAAGCAUGGGGGAUAAUAUUUUUCUCUUCAAGUUUGCUUCAGAAUAAGAAAAGAAAAGAGUGCUUAUGGGAGGGCCAUGGCAUUUUGACAGAGCACUGAUAGUUUUGAUCGAACCAUCCGACAUUGGUGAUAUCAAAAAUUAAUCCUUUACGCAUACAACAUUUUGGGUACAGAUCCAUAAUAUACUCAUAAUGUGCAUGAACAAGGAGGCAAUUGAAAAACUAGGUGAAAAGAUUAGUGGGAUCAAGGAAAUAGAGACAGACGAAGCCGGGGAUUGCAUAGGACAGUUUGCUCGAGUAAGAAUCUCCCUUGACAUUACUCAGCCAUUAAAAAAGAUUGUGUUUUUACAACAAGAUGAAGGAAAAAUUCCAAUGCCAAUCCUGUAUGAAAAGCUACCGGACUUUUGCUUUUGUUGCGCGCAUGUAGGUCAUCAGUACAGAGAGCGCAUGUAGGUCAUCAGUAUAGAGAGUGCCUGAGGUAAAAAGGACAACAUCUAAUGUUGAGUGUAACAGAGCAGGAAAACCAGCAAGUGGUGCAUUAAAGCAGGGUGGUGACAUCAACAAGUUGCAGGACAGAGUGACUAGUAAUGAUAGCCAAUCUAGAUAUGAACGCAAAAAAGGCGGAAAAGAAGGAUUGGAGGGAAAAUGAAAAUCUUGUAGAAAAAGACAAUGUGGGGAACAUGGAAAAUAAAAUGGAGGAGGACACGGGGGGUGCCAGAUCAGAUGAAGAGGAUUUGGAUAAUGGGCCCAGCAAGGCCACCGUGAAAUCCAAAGGAAGAAAAUGGAAAUUGCGGGCAAGAAACACCAAAGGAGAAGGAGCAAAUAAUAUUACUUUCGUAGAAAGUAAAAGACACAACAGUGAAGGCCAUGGGCCUAGCCUAGAGAGCAAAAAGAGGGGAGUGUCCAGUCCAAAAAAGCAACCAUAGGAAGGAAAACACAUAAGCCUAGCAAAAGCAUUAGACAACUGCAACCAUUUUAGCCCCAACAAAGUAGCUCGCUAGUUGAAGCAAGCAGAAGAAGUGCUUGAUGCAGGGGAAAACUUGUAAGCAAUGGAUGAAGACCUAUCGGCGGGUGCUGAUGAUCAACCCCACCGACAACCAUAAAGAUCCUCAGCUGGAACGUUCGAGGUCUGGGGAAGCCUCAAACGCACUUAGCAAUUAGAAAAGUUCUAUACCUGCACCGGUUCUAAAUACUAUUUUGUUGUGAAACUAAGAUGAUGGCUAGGUAGGUCAAUUUAAUUUACAGAAGUUUUAAUUUUGUAAAUUGUUUUGCUGUGGACAAAAAUGGUUUGGGUGGAGGCCUAGCUAUGCUCUAGGGAGUAGACGUUAAUGUCAAUAUCACCUCAUACAGGCCCCACCAUAUAGAUGCAAUAGUGAGUAGUGAAAGUGGCUUGGUUUGGAGAUGUACGGAGAUUUAUGGCCACCUAAAGCUCAGCCAGAAGCGUAGCACAUGGACCAUUCUAAAAAGGUUAGCUAAUCUUUCUUCCCACCCUUGGUGUUGCUUUGGGGAUUUCAAUGAAGUGAUGCAUAUGUUUGAGAAAAAUGGGAGCAGAAUGUAAAUGUGGUUGUCGAGUUUAGAGAGGUUGUGGGCUGCAAGGGGUACCCGUAUACAUGGUCUAAUAAGAGAUUUGAUGCUAAUUACAUAGAAAAAUGGCUGGACAGAUUCUUGUGUAGUAAGGAUUGGGGCAAAAAAUUUUAAGACUCUACAGCCACAAACCUUGUUAAUUGGGUCUCGAAUCACUGUCCAAUAUUCUUAGAAUUCAAAUAGAGAUGCAAGAAGUCGAGGACUGUGAGCAUAUCGUUUCCUGUGAUCACUAUGAGGAUAUGUAGAGUUCUUACGAAGACUGUAAGAGCAUAGUAAAAGAUGAGUGGGGAAACUAUGGGGCUAGAGCUUGGGAGGAUCCUGCUCACCAAUUUCAGCGGAUAGCAAAAAAGUCUUUAGCUCAGCUUAAGCUUUGGAGUAAAAAUGAAUUUGAAGGAAGACAAAGAAAAUAAGAAAAGCUGUUUCAGAGCCUUCAGAAUGCUAUGCAAAGAAGCUCUAAGCUGACUGAUGGAGAGGAGAUUAGGAAGAUUGAAAGCCAGAUCAAUUCCACGCUUAUUGACGAGGACAUCUAUUGGAAGCAACGAUCGGGGGCUGACUGGCUAAGAAAAGGAGACAAAAACACUAAGUUUUUCCACGCCAAAGUUUCUGCCCGUAAAAGAAAGAAUAAGGUGUGGGGGGUAGAAAACUCUCAAGGCGUCUGGCUAAGGGAGAGAGAUGAUAUAGAAAAGGAAUUCUGCGGUUACUUCCAAGAACUCUUCACUACAUCCAGCCCAACUCCAAGCCAAAUUCAAGCUGCUCUUUAAGGAAUGCCGGUAAAAGUAACAUAAAAAAUGAAUGCCCAGCUGGAGAAGCCCUUCACUCCAGAGGAUAUAGAGGAGGCUCUAGGACAGACGUGCCCCAGAAAAGCCCCAGGUCCAGAUGGCUUAACUGCUGUAUUUUUUCAGAAGCAUUGGAAAUUAAUUCGCAAUGGAGUUGUUACAACAUGUCUUCAUAUCCUUAAUGAGCAAGGUAACCCGUCUCCUCUUAACCAUACUUUUAUCACCUUGAUCCCUAAAAUUGCUAAGCCUAAGAGAGUCUCUGAUUACAGGCCUAUAAGCCUGUGUAAUGUAAUUUAUAGAGUCGUAGCUAAGGCUAUUGCAAAUAGAAUGAAACCGAUCCUCUCCCAAAUCAUUUCUCCAAUGAAGAGUGCAUUCAUACCCAAUAGGACUCAUUACAGACAAUGUUAUUAUUGGUUAUGAAUGCCUCUAUAAGAUAAGACACUGUAAAGGGAAGAUGAAUGAUCUUGUGGCUCUUAAGCUAGAUAUUAGUAAGGCGUAUGAUAGAGUUGAAUGGUCUUUUUUGAAUCAAACAUUGUUAAGGCUGGGUUUCUCACCUAAUUGGGUGGAUUUGAUUAUGAGGUGUGUCUCUACUACCUCACUCUCGGUGAUUAUUAAUGGUGUGCCAAAGGGAAUAAUUCAGCUGGAAAGAGGUCUGAGGCAGGGCUGUCCGCUAUCUCCAUAUCUCUUUAUCAUCUGUGCUGAGGCGUUCUCCAAUAUGCUUGUGAAGGCGGAAAAGAUUCAGCUAAUCCGAGGUCUGAAAUUUACAAAAAAAAGUCUCAAUUACCCACUUGCUGUUUGCGGAUGAUAGCCUGGUUUUUUAUCGUGCUUCAGUGGCUAAUUGUAAGCAUCUGAAGGAGAUUUUCGACAACAAUGCAGCAGCUUCUGGGCAGAUUUUUAAUUUUCAGAAAUCCUCCUUGUUCAUUAAUGGUUGAAUCCCUGCAAGUCAAACAGCUGCUAUUAAGGACAUUUUCAAGUUAAAUAUGGUCUCCAAGUAUGAAAAAUACUUAGGCCUCCCCUCAAUGAUAGGAAGAGAGAAGCUGAGCUUUUUCGAUGAAGUAAAACUAAAAGUUUUAAACAAGAUCAUAGGGUGGCAGCAUAAAAGGUUUUCGAGUGGGGGUAAGGAAAUCUUUAUUAAAGCGGCAGCCCAAGCUAUCCCAGCUUACGCAAUGAGUGUGUUCAAGCUUCCGAGAGGUCUUUGAGAUGACAUUCAACGGGCUAUAGUGAAGUUUUGGUGGGGAACGAAGGAAGAUAAGCAAGGUAUCCAUUGGUUAAAAUGGGAGAAGCUCAGCCAUGCAAAAAACAGAGGUGGGAUGGGAUUUCGGGAUUUUACUAGCUUUAACCAAGCCUUGGUGGCAAAGCAAGCUUGGAGGUUUCUGCAGUACCCAAAUUCUCUGGUCUCAAGAGUCCUUCAAGCAAGAUAUUACAAGAACUCCAGCUUUCUAGGUGCAUCGGUAGGGUCCAAUGCUUCAUUCAUCUGGAAAAGCAUUCUUUGUGGCAGAGAAGUAAUCAAGAAAGGUUUUAGAUGGCGGGUGGGCAAUGGCAAGAACAUAUCUGUUUACAAGGAUAAUUGGAUGCCAAGGCCGAAUACGUUCAAGCCAAUCUCCCCCCUACUUUGCCAGCAGACAUAGUGGUGACAGACCUAAAUAAGGAAGAUAACCAUUAGGAUGAAGACAAUCUGAACCAACACUUUAUGGAAGUAGAUGCAGCAAUGAUUCUUAAGAUUCCUCUCCCAAAAGAACAUUUGGAUGAUGAUGUUUUAUGGCAUUAUGAUAAAAGGGGAGAAUACUCGAUCAAAAGUGGGUACUAGCUAGCCUUAAGAAUGAAAUUUUCAGUUGCUCCUAGUAGCUCAGAGAGCAUGUCUCAGUAUUGGAGUGCCCUUUGGUCCCUGGAGCUACCUGAAAAAAUAAAAAUAUUCAUGUGGAGGGCAUCAAACAAUCUGCUCCCAUCAACAGAAAAUAUGUGGAAAAGAAAAGUCAUUCAAGAGCCAACUUGUCAAAUAUGUAGAAAGAGCAUAGAAUCUAUAAGCCACGCCUUAUUGGAGUACAAGGCAGCAAAAUCGAUCUGGCUACAAUCUCCCUUUACAGUUCCAAGCUUUAAAGACCAUUCUCAGGAAAUUUUUAGCAUUUUGCAAGGAAUGGCCAAUGAGUUAAGGAAAGCUGAUUUGGAAUUAAUGGUGUGCUGGGCUGUAUGGUUUUCUAGAAACAAAUUUAUUUUCGAAGGCAAGAAGAUAGCCCCCAAUAUCUCAACUGCAAAGGCAAAGUCUGUUUUGGAUGCAUUUCAAAGAGUAAGGAAGACAUACCCCUCUCAUAUUGCCUACUCCAGUGGAGAGAAGCUGCAGAAGUCGAUUCCCCCCCUCCCCGAAAAUGUCUUCAAAGUUAAUGUCGACGCUGCCAUUAAUGCCAAGGAUCAGACUACAGGAGUGGGAGUAGUCAUCAGAGGAAUAAACGGCAAGGUAAUUGCAGCCGGCAUCAAUCAAUCUUCUCUAAAGGGAACGGUAAGUAAUGCAGAGGUCGAGGCUAUGUUAUGGGGAAUUCAAGUGGCGAGAGAAGCAAAUUUAGCCUCCUUGAUCAUUGAGUCAGAUUGCUUAGAGGUGGUCCAGUUAGUAAACAACACUAAGGGUAGCAAAACAAAAAAUUUUUGGACAAUUCUAGAGAUCCAAAAUUAGUUGAAGGAUUUUCACAAAGUAGCAGUCCAUCAUACUCCAAGAUAAUGUAAUGCUUAUGCUCAUUCCUUAGUUAAGUUAGCUUUGGGGAGAAACUCUUCUUCUAUCUGGUUAGGAACUAUCCCAACUAAGAUUCAAGUUGUAUUUAAUGUAUUGUGAUUUAUGAAAGGUUUACUUUCUUUUUUUUAAAAAAAAGCACCACACAUGUACUGAGCAUUCACGCAUACCUACAAAUCAGUGGCAGCAUAGUAAUUGGCAUGGCAGUUUGCAUGACAAGAUACACAACACAGUAGACUCACCAGACAGCACACACACAACAGUAGUCACUGACUCACCAACGCAACCGCGUGAAGCCAGGCCAUCGUGAGUCUGCGACAUGCUGACACAAUACACCUUGACCACUGCUGCAACUUGCUCCACCUUGAUCGAUAGCCAUUAAGUUCCUCCAACUUACUUUUUUCAAUAAACAUUACUAUACUAUAUAUAUUAUAUUAAAUAAUUAAUUUCCAAAUUUCUAUUACGUUUAUAACUUUUCAAGUUCAAUGAUUUUUGUAUGCUUAAUAAGACUACUCAGCAAGAAAAAGUCACAAUUUAUCCAUGAUUUUAGUUAGAAUUAGUAAUAUAGUGAAUAGGAGUAUAGAGAUCAUUUUUUUUAAUUUUAAUUUGAAUACAAAUCAAACCCUAUAAAUUUAUAUAAGAAAAUGUAUGUUAAAAUUUUAUUCCUAAAUAAUCAUCAUGUAAAAUUCUGUUUCAUUGUUUUUUGCUUAGAUUGAGACUAAUUAAUUUAUUAAUUGAAAUUGUAUUGUUAAUUGUUUUUAGCACAAUUAUCCUAGUCUUAUUAUUAAUUGUUAUUUUUAAAUGUACUGGGGAUGUUUGAGAUUGUGAGUGUUGUGGUGAUAUUUUAAUAGUUUUAUGUUUUGAAUUAAUGAUGACUAUUCAUUUUUUUGUAUGUUCAAGUGACUAGACACUCAAGAUCAAAUUUCACAAUUGAUGAUGAGGCACAAAGUGAACAACUAAAAGGAAAUCAAAAAGGGAGGGAAAAGACGAAGCAAGCGAAAAAUACAGCAAAUGAAAAAAAAGAUUUCUAAUGUGGAAUCAUCUCACUUUAUGUAAGGACAAUUUAAACAAAUGCUAGUGCAACUAUUGUGGUAAACAAUAUCAAUGCCAUUCAAGGCAUGAGGAGAUUAUCAAUAUGAGAAAUAAUAUAAAAAAUUAUAACAUAUACAAGACAUUCCAACAACAACAAGAAGAAAAUCGGCAGAAGUUGAUAGUUGAGGAUGGUGAAGGAAUUGCAAGUAACAUGGUUUUGGCUAAACGAUAGGAUGAGUGGAUGACAAGUGGCUCAAUUAUUUGUUUGAUACAUACAUGAAUAAUCUAUAUUCCAAGUUCCAACGGUUGCAUUUAAAUUCGCCAAUAGCAGAAAAGAAAAGAAAAGUAAAUCAAUAUCUUUGCAUAAAUUUGUAAUUUUUUAAUUUACUUUUUCUCUUCAAUUCUUCUCUAGGGGAUCCGUCCUCCAACUUCGAAUACAAGAAGUUGAAGUUAGAACUUGUCCAAAUAUUUACGUGAAGGAAGGUUAUUUAAUAUUUAUGUUUAAAUUUUGUUGUUUUAGAAAUAGUUUAUUUUUAGACUUUGUAUUGGAAACUAUUUAAUUAUAUUUAAACUUUGUGAUCUUUGUGUUUUGAAGGCUAUUUAUAUUUGAAUAUCGUGCUUUGGGUGGAGGCUAUUAAAUUUAGAAUUUGUGUUUAUUUUAAUUUGUAUACAUUUGAUUUUAAUGGUAGUAGACUAGUAGUUUUCAUUUUUUUUUAGAAUUGGUAAAAACAAACUAAAAUGAGAUAAUUAUAAGAAAAUAAUUUUCUAGUAACUACAUAAUUUGUAAAGAAAACUCAAAAUAUACAAAAUAAAAGCUCAAAAUUGCCCAUGACUCGAAUCGACCCAAAUCCAAUUUUAAACCGAACUCAAUUCGAUCCAUCUAUAAUCCUAGCUCAGUCAACUUGAACUAAACCCGAACGUUUGAUCUAAUCCGAAUACAUACGGAUUAGAUUAGAUCAUAUUACAGUUCGGAUUGAGUUUGAAUAACUUUUUUCUCAAUCCAACUAACUCGAAAUCCGAUUGGAUUGAUUCAAACCCAUUUUUGCCCACCCCUAUUCAAUAUUGAUGCAAUUGCAUUGUUUUGAUUCUUACGCAACACUUGUCGAACUACAUCAUUAUAUACAAUGUUAUGAACUACUUGGGUUAUAUUGGAAGAAAUAUGAACACGUGGAAAAAUCAGCAACCGCUGUCAUAAGUAUCCUAUUUUGGUAACCAGUACAUUAGAAUCACUUUCAAUCCAUUCUGCAGUUUCCCCAUUUUGGCAUAAAUUUCCCUACCAACAGUCAGGGAUGUCCACACAAGCUUGCUCGUUAUGUGCCGGGAUCCUUUGCAAAGUAAGAAACAUGUAGCUCCUUUUGAAGAAGUGAAAAAAAAAAAUCAUAUCUAAGAAAUAUCUGGGCUGAUGGAAAUAUAUAAUGAAGUAUCCGGGUUUCUAAGGGAAAUAUGAGUCAGAGAAUUAGGACUCAUUAUUUAUCUCGUUGGACAGCUUGAAUUUAAUUCUGUUUCACUUUCAUUUUUGUUUCUUGUAAAUAUUUAUCUUGAUUUAUAGAUAUGGCCUUUGCAUAUACAAAUGAAUUAAAUACCUGAUAAAAAAGGAUACAUCAUUAAUCAUCCACAUAAAUUUUAAGAAAACUUGAUUUUUCGAUGAUUAUGUACCUGUGUUUCUAAGGGCACUAUCACAUAUUGUUGUCAAAGAAAUACCAAUAAGCAAACAUACCUAACACCUAGUGUUAUAUACAAAUGAAGACCCUUCAAUAUAUAAUUACUGGAAUAUGGCAAAAUUUUAUAAAAUAAAAUUUAUAUAUAUGAUUAUUUCCGAAGAUAGCCAGCUCACCAUUACUUGUUUCGUCCAUGCUUUCAUUCGAAUGCAAAUCCUUAAAAAAAAUGAUGUGAAUUAGAGUAACUUGAUUUCUUAAAAAAAUUAUGAAUAUCCUUUAGCAUAAUACACUCUUUUGUAAUUUUAACUUACAUUAUUUGCAGCAAGUUAGAGCAACCUUUAUUUGCGUGCACAUUACUGAAAUGUUAAAUUGAACUUGUGUACAAGCACAGUAGGCUGCAUACAUUUGUGAAGUACUUUCCAAUUAUGGUCUAGUUUGGGGUUUGAGGUUGAGCAACUGUAACUUAAAAACUAGUAAGCACUAGCUGUUGUAACUUAGAAACUAAGUUAAUUUGAUUUUAUAUUUGUAUGAUAAAAAAAUUAUUAUAUAUAUUUACUAAUUUUGUUAAAAAAAAUUUUACUACAUAUUACUAAGACCAUUCAUACAACAACUAUAAUUUAAAAGUUAGAACACAUUAAUAUCAAACAAGACCUAUAUGAGUUUCUAAUUCGAUUAAGACCAUUUUUGCAUGAAGUGAAAUCCAAAGCAAGCUACCUAUAGCAUCUUUCAUGGCAACACUUAUACCUCCAAAACAAGUUAUGAUAAUACUCAAAUGCUUGAUUACAAGUGGGAAAGGUUGGAUUUGCCAUGACUACUUCUGGAACACUCAAAUUCUUCACAAAAGUAAAACUAAUAAAAUGAAAAUUUGUUGAUGUUGAGAGGGCAAAGAAUGGCAAGGAGAGACAUAUUUCCAUUGAAACUUUGCAAAUUCAAUGUCUUUUAGAUUGAGUGUCUUUUAUUUAAAAUUAUCAUGGAAGUUAAAAAUCGAGGGAGUUCAUUUAAGAGAGUGGGUGAGAGUGAGUAAAACUCCGAGAUUCAAACACAGGGUAGUCAGUAGGUAAAGAGCAAACUUGUUGUUCGUCAUCUAUGGACACAGUGGAGUUAAUAUGUAAAUGCAAAGCUAUUUCUAUAUGAGAUGGCAGUGAACGAAAGCUAUCAAUUAGAAGCGGAAUGCAAGGAAAAAGAGGGCGUAUAAUGGAAAAUUCUCUAGUUGGGAAAAUUCUAUUUGUUGAGUACAUAAAGGCACCAGGUCGGCCAUGCUACUGGUUCCGCCCCGGCACAGAUCGUUUCAGCUAUAUGGUACGAGCAGAACACGGGGUUAAACAGGAGCCGACCCGAGAUGAGUGCGACCAUGAAAACAUACUGACCAGAAGUAUACGCCGAGCCGAUACUCAUCCCCAGGAAAGCGGGAACACGAUCUCACAAAAUCGCGGUAGUUGCGCUUCUCCCAGAACGGUUGAAGGACACGCGAGAUCCACGUUUGCCCACAAUCUAACAGUUAGAGUCCCAUGAGGGGUUACCACCACCCGAAAAAGGAGGGAUAAGGGGCAAACGAAAAACGUGGGACAAAGGGCGGCUAUAAAAGAGAAAGACAUCGAAGAAGACAGGACAGAAAAAAUUGAGAGAGGGGAAACGCUGCCAAAUUCCAACCAGGCCAUUUCCUUACAAAUUUCUUAAAUCCAUAUUACACUGUUUUCCCGUAAACACCUUGUGCUAACUUAGGCAUCGGAGGGUUUACGCCGGCAAAACCACCGGCGUCUCUGAUCCGUGUUUGCUGAACGCAGGUCUAGUGAGAGAGGGAAGGGCGAUUCCAACCCCAGUGGUUCGAGUGACAGUUGAUAACACAAACGUUGGUGACAGAAUCUGGUCGGUCCAAGGGCGAGCAGAUUUCAGCAUCAACAUUUUGGCGCCGUCUGUGGGGAGCUGAAUAAAAAGUUACCACCAAGUUAGUAAUUACCUGAGAAGUAGCGAACGAUUGGAUAUGGAUGCGUCAAGAAAGGAUACUUUAAGGGAGGAUAAUGAAACGGUGGAGACAAUCACUCUACGGGGGAUUGCAAAUGAAGCCCGAGAGAGGAUGAUGCAAGAUAGACUGGAGCGGAUGGAGAAACAAAUGGAGACUCUCGCGGCCGUAUUGUUUGAGCUGAGGGACGAGCGGAGAAGGGAUUAUGAAACCCCCGUGGGAAGAGAUGGAGUUGGAGCAGAACCUAGUCUCCGGGGGCGUAGGGUCGGGGAGAUCCCUCCACCCGCAGACCAACCUAACGGAGUGCAUCCCCACCGAAGUACUGGCCGGGUCCCAGGGGAACACGUGGAUGAAGGGAGAGACCAACCUCGCCCCGGACGGGUACUGGAAAUAAAUGGCCGAGGGGCCAGUGUUGAUGAAGGAGAGCUCAGACAGCGGUUGCAGAACGUCGAGCAGGAGCGAGACCAGAUAGCUGCACGUGAUCCUGAUCGCGCUAUAGAAUUGGAGGGGGAGGUGCGCAGAUUGGCGCAGGUGAUAGAGGAGAUGCAGGGCAAGAGAAAGCCCCCGAGCUGGAGGAUAAUGCUAGAUGAAGAAUCUCCGUUAUCAAUUGAGAUCAUGAGCACCAUAAUCCCAAGAGAUUUCCGCUUCCCUGACCUCAAAUACUCCGGGCGAAGUGACCCGUUGGUGCACAUUGAGCGUUUCAACGACAUGACGGGUGUGCAGGGGCUGACACCAGCUCAGAGAUGCAGGGUGUUCCCGUUGACACUAGAGGGACGAGCCCGAGAAUGGUACCGCAAGCUGCCCCGAGGAGGAAUAAAGGGGUAUGAGCAGAUGUGCCAGGAGUUGGCCGAGCAGUUCCGAGGGGCGGUGGCCCCAGAGGAUGACAUGAUGGAGCUGAUGGGGAUGAAGCAGGAGGAGCAUGAAUCCCUUCGCGAUUUCGUAAAACGAUAUCACCGAGCCGUGCUGGAUUUGGGAGCUUUUAAUCACCCGCAGGCGUUGUGGGGAUUAAAAGAAGGUGUAAGAAUCGGCCGAUUGUGGUAUAACUUAAGAAGCCCCCUUGUACAGAAUUACUCGUCGGGGUAUGAGCAAGCGAAACGAGAUAUAGAGAUCGAAGAGGAAAAAUCAGCAAGAAUUAAAAGUGAACAGCUGGAAGAGCUGAGGCGAAGAGAACGGAGAGCCCCGAAAGGGAGCGGGUCGGGAAAGCGAACAGGAGAAUCUUCGGGGAUGGGCGGAAUAUCAGCUCGGUCUCGCCCUUACCCCAUAGCUCAGAGAACACAACAGUUCCAACACAGCCGGGCUCAACCUCCGCGCCCCCCGAUCCCAGAACGGCAGCGAGAAUUCAGGCAGGUGACUGCCCACCCUUACCACCGCACUCCCAGAGAGGUAAACGCGACCAAUUACAGGUCUGGCCGACCAGAGCAGUUACCGGCUAUACCAGCCCGAAGUGACGUCCAUGAUAGCCGAGCAGUGCAGUUGGUUGACCAGAACGCGGCAUAUAGACGAUAUACUCCUUUAAAAGUCUCCAUGGAGGAACUAUAUGAAAGGAUCGAGGGACGAGGACUGCUGUAUACUCCGGCCCCUAUAACGAAACCCGCUCACCGGCGUGAUAAGAGCAGGUUCUGCAAAUUCCACAACAUUCACGGUCAUACUAUCAGCCAAUGCCGUGACCUAAGGAUUCAGGUGGAGGAUUUGGUGAGGAACCAAUACUUGGAUGAGUACGUAGAUGAAGUGUUCCCCGUCAGUGAGUCGCAAUAUGCACAGGAUGAAGGAGUUGAAAGGGGUUUGGAAUAAGAACAGCCGACUAUCCAAGUUAUAGCAGGAGGGCCAACAUUGGCCGGGGAUUCAAACAGGGCACGGAAGAACUAUGGGAGAUAUGCCCUGACUAGCAAAGAAAUGUUUUUCAAUUUGCCAGCAGCCAAGAGGGCAAAAGUGCGGCAAGUUCCUAUUAUGUGGACAGAGGACGACGAAGAAGGCAUUUUAUACCCUCACGAGGAUGCGCUGGUGAUUAAAGCAUUGGUGGCCAGUACAGAAUUGCGGCGAAUACUGGUAGAUACGGGCAGCUCAGUAGACAUUCUGUUUAAGUCGGCCUUAGAUGAUAUGGGGAUUUCAGAUUUAAAGCUGGAGCGAACGAAUACAUCCUUGAAGGGAUUUGGAGGGGGACGGUUAACUCCCAUGGGGGUCAUUGAACUCCCGAUUACUGUAGGGACAAAGCCACUUGAAAGAACGAUGAUGCUGGACUUUGUAGUGGUAGAGGAAAGAAGUCCUUACCAGAUGAUAUUGGGGAGACCGUUCAUGAGGAUAAGCCAAUGUGUAAUGUCAACGCAUUAUCUGGCGCUGAAGUACAGAAUAAAUGGAGUUGUGGGUGUAGUAAAGGGCGACCAGAGAAUGGCCAGGAGCUGCUAUGCUACAGCGGCCAAGGAAACGCUGCAAGUUACCUCUCUAGAUAACCGAGGGGAUUCAAAAAAUGGUCGUCAGGAACCGGUUGAGAAGCUGGAGGAAGUUGUUGUAAGAAGGAGUGACCCUAGCAGAGUUGUUAAGGUCGGAUCAGAAUUGGGUAGAGAAAUAAAGACAGAGCUGGUGAAGUGUCUACAGUCCCAUGCAGACGUAUUUGCUUGGUCUCAUGAGGAUAUGCCAGGUAUUGAUCGCGGGAUAGCUUGUCACAAGUUGGCGGUCAAGAGAGGGGCAAAGCCGGUGAGACAGAAAAGGAGGUGCUUCAACCACGAAAGGUACGAAGCCAUAAAUGCCGAGGUGGAAAAGCUGCUGAAAGCAGGAUUUAUAAGGGAAGCUAAGUACCCGGAGUGGAUUUCCAAUGUGGUAUUGGUAAAGAAGGCCAAUGGGAAGUGGAGAAUGUGUGUAGACUUCACGGACCUCAAUAAGGCAUGCCCGAAGGACAGCUUUCCCCUGCCAAAAAUAGAUCAGCUGGUGGACUCAACCGCGGGUCAUAGUCUGCUUAGUUUCAUAGAUGCCUUCUCCGGAUACAACCAGAUACCCAUGAACGAGCAGGAUGAGGAAAGCACCACAUUUAUAACUAACAUGGGUUUGUUUUGUUACAGGGUGAUGCCCUUUGGCCUGAAAAAUGCAGGAGCUACCUAUCAAAGGUUAGUGAACAAGGUCUUCAAACCAUUGAUCGGUCGCACUAUGGAAGUAUAUGUGGACGAUAUGAUCACCAAGUCAAGAGAACCGAAAGACCAUGUGAAGCACUUGGAAGAGACUUUCGAAUUGCUGAGGAGGUACAAAAUGAAGCUGAACCCGGAGAAAUGUGCAUUUGGGGUCAGCUCGGGCAAAUUUUUAGGAUACCUGGUGAGCCAUCGAGGUAUUGAAGCCAACCCAGAAAAGAUACGGGCAGUGAUAGAAAUGAGGUCCCCACGAACAGUUAAGGAGGUGCAGAGCCUUACGGGGAAGUUGGCAGCAUUGAACCGAUUCAUUUCGCGAGCCACUGAUAAAUGUCACCCUUUCUUCCAAGUCAUAAAGAAAGGGAAGAAGAUGGAAUGGACACCGGAAUGCGAGGGGGCAUUUGGACAGCUGAAGGAAUAUCUAGCCCACGCCCCGUUACUAUCAACUCCGAGAGAGGGUGACCAGCUGCUCUUAUACUUGGCAAUCUCUAAGCAGGCUACCAGCUCGGUCUUAGUCAGGGAAGUAGAAGGGAAGCAACACCCGGUAUACUACACAAGCAAGGCCCUGGUGGACGCAGAAACCAGAUAUCCACUAAUGGAGAAGUGGGCGCUGGCUUUGAUAACGGCAGCACGCAAACUCCGACCAUACUUCCAAGCCCACCAGAUCGUUGUGAUGACUGACCAGCCACUUCGGCAAGUACUUCAAAAACCAGAUGCGUCUGGUCGGUUAGUAAAAUGGUCCGUGGAGCUGAGCGAAUUUGACCUGUCCUACAGGCCCCGAGGAGCAAUCAAGGCCCAAGCCCUGGUAGAUUUUAUGGUGGAUCGUGUUGAACCGGGGGAAGAGGUCCAAGAGGAACAAUCGGUAGAGCACGAGGAUUCAAAGGAGAUAUGGCUGGUAAUGGUUGACGGAUCAUGUAGUGAGCAAGGAUCCGGAGCAGGAGUUGUAAUACGGAGCCCAGAGGGAACCGAGGUAACAUACGCGGUGAAGUUCGAAUUUCAGCUCACAAACAACCAAGCUGAGUAUGAAGCCUUUAUCACCGGGCUCGGACUUGCACACGCUCUCAGAGCAGAGAGAGUAGAAAUUCGAGCAGAUUCCCAAUUGGUGUGUAAUCAGCUCAAUGAUCAGUUUCAAGCGAGGGGAGAGAAGAUGAGUCUUUAUUUGAAGAAGGCGAAGCAGAUGGUUGGGCUUUUCCAAGCAGUGGAGGUAAAGCAGAUAUCCCGGAAUGAGAAUUUCCGAGCCGAUAUGCUGGCUAGGAUGGCAGCCAUCGCAGAUCCAAAAUUACCGAAGUCAGUUCCACUAGAGGUAAGGACCUCACCAAGUAUUGAGGAAGAAGCAGAGGUGAUGAGUGUAAAUAUUGGAGAAUCCUGGAUGGACCCGAUUCGCGCAUAUGUCCGCGAUGGAGUUUUACCGAAAGACAAAAGGCAAGCAAGAAAGUUAAAAUGCCGAGCAGCGAGGUACACGCUACUAGAUGGAGUGCUAUACCGCCGAGGGUUCACCUUACCCCUUUUGAGAUGUUUGGAUGAUGAGGAGGCGGAUUAUGUGCUGAGAGAGAUUCAUGAGGGAAUAUGCGGCAAUCACUCGGGAGCAAGAACUUUAGCCUUCAAGGCACUCCGGCAAGGAUACUUUUGGCCAACCAUGCACCAGGAUGCCAAAAGGAUGGCCAAGAAUUGUAAAACAUGCCAAAGCUUCUCCGAGGUUCCUGCACAACCACCGGAGAAACUGACGGCUAUGACAUCCCCAUGGCCUUUCGCUCAAUGGGGAAUCGACUUGAUUGGUCCAUUACCAAAGGGACGAGGAGCGGCGACACAUGCAAUCGUGGCAAUAGACUACUUCACCAAGUGGGUGGAAGUAGAAGUCCUCAGCCAGAUCACAGAGAGGAAGACAACAUAUUUUAUUUGGAAAAACAUCAUCUGCAGAUAUGGGAUCCCCUACGCCAUCAUCACAGACAAUGGGAGGCAAUUUGACAACGGCAACUUCAGGGAAUUUUGCCGAAACCUGGGGGUGGACCUGAAGUUCUGCACCCCCACACACCCCCAGGCAAACGGGCAAGUGGAAGCAGCCAACAAGGUGAUAAAGAAGCUCCUAAAGACUAGAUUGGGGGAGAAGAAGGGAGCUUGGGUUGACGAGCUACCAGGGGUACUGUGGGCCUACAGGACAACUCACAAAACCGCCACAGGAGAAACACCGUUCGCUUUAGCUUUUGGUCAUGAGGCGGUAAUCCCAGCAGAGAUUGGAGUGGGGACACAUAGAACGGAACAUUUCGUUGAGGAGCAAAAUGACGAGCAGAUCUGCUUAAGCCUAGACCUGCUGGAGGAGAAAAGGGAAGGGGCCUCGCAGAAAGUGGCCCAAUGUCAGCAAAGGGUCAUGCGUUAUUACAACAAGAAUGUAUGCGUGAGGCAGUUCCGAGCAGGAGAUUGGGUACUUAGGAAGGUGAACCAGAACACCAGGAAUCCUAACCAUGGCGCUCUUGGCCCAAAGUGGGAAGGCCCAUACCGAGUGAUACGACCCACUGGACCAGGAGCAUAUAAAUUAGCGUGCCAAGACGGACGAGACGUGAAGAGAUCAUGGAACGCCGAACACCUGAAGAAGUACUUCCAGUAAGCAAAAUGCUCUAUUAAAUCCUCACUCUGGCAAGUUAUUUCUGUUACAAUGCCUGAUGGCCUGUCGCACAUGCAUAUAUUCUAUGUUUUUGUAAUACAUUCAAAUUUCAAUAAAGAUGAAUUCAGCAUGAAAUCCCCCUGCUAGCAAGAUCAAUAAAAAUUUCACUAAGACAAGUGCUACUUCUGCUCGGUCAACGAAGACCAGCAGCUAAAGCUUCAAAAUUUAUACUAAGGCAUCAAAGUGCCUGUUUCUGCUCGGUCAACGAAUGACCAGCAGCUAAAGCUACGAACACUCUCCUAGGGCAAGUGCCUACUUCUGCUCGGUCAACGAAGACCAGCAGCUAAAUCCUCGAAAGUUCACUAAGGCAAGUGUCUACUUCUGCUCGGUCAACGAAGACCAGCAGCUAAAGCUUCAAAAUAUCUACUAAGGCAACAAAGUGCCUGUUUCUGCUCGGUCAACGAAUGACCAGCAGCUAAAGCUACGAACACUCUCCUAGGGCAAGUGCCUACUUCUGCUCGGUCAACGACAGACCAGCAGCUAAAGCUACGAAAACUCUACUAAGGCAAGUGCCUACUUCUGCUCGGUCAACGAAUGACCAGCAGCUAAAGUUACGAAGAUUCUACCAAGGCAAGUAAGUGCCUACUUCUGCUCGGUCAACGCAAGACCAGCAGCUAACUCUACAAGAAAUCUACUAAAGCAAAUGCCUACUUCGGCUCGGUCAACGAAGGACCAGCAGUUAAUCCUACUAAAAUUUUACUAAGAUACAAUCUAUGAGCAAAAACCGGACAAGAAAGCAAAUAAAGAGCAUUUAAAAAUCUUUUUAUAAAUGUUCAAUUGUUUACAAAACAAAUGCAAAUCUAGAGUCUAUACAAAAAUAGGCUCAAAGAUUAGAAGGGUCAACGGCUUCAGCAGGUGAAGGAUCAGUUGUCCCAGGAGGUGGAGGAUCAGCAAUACUGGGAGGAGGCGGCAUGGAUCCUUGUCCCAUUUCAAAAGCACGUUCCCCAGCUCCCCCCUCCUGCACCUCAUAUAAAGGAGCCUCCACCUGAUUCUGCUCACCUUGCUCCUUAUCUCCCUGGCCGACCCCAGCCAUGUACCUCUCCACUCCAGCCUCCAGCUUGCUCAUAUCCAGCUCGGGAUAUUCUUCCUUAAGCACAGACAUGAUGCACUUAUAGGAGAAGGCAACCCCAGAGUCAUACUCGGCAUCCAGCCGAUCGUCCACAUCAGCAGAUUUGCCUUUCUCCUCAGCCAGCUGCUCACCCAAGGAUUUGAUUUCCCCCUCAAGGGCAGCCCUCAGAGUAUCCCUUUCAAUUUGAGUAGCCUGAAGAUCAGAUCUCAGGUCACCCAACUCGCCCUCAAGCUUGGAGGAAGUGGACUCAGCAACAGCAACUUUCUCCUCAAGCUCCGUAAGCUGUUUGUUCAGCUCGGCCAGUUUCUCCUUGGAGCGGUCAGCAGAUUCAACUUUCUUUUUCAACUCUUGGUUAUCAGCCUGGAGCUUCUUCUCAUGACGCGCGGACCCGAUCUUGUAGCACGAGACCAUUGUGGCCAGCCUGAAGGAGACUCUCUGAACAGAAGCAGCCAAAUCGGAGAGGCUCAUGCUCUCGAUGUCCUUCACCAUCUUAGGCCCAACCGAUUUUUUAUAAUCCUUCUGAUAUGGACUCAGGUAAUCACCUUGAUCCCGAGAUGGGAGAGGAGAAGAUCGGUCCUCAGAUUGCAAGCUGACCUCAGGACUCUUGUCAGAGGUUUUCUCCCCACCACUCUUACGAGGUGGAGGAGGAGGCAGAGCAGGAACAGGCGCCUUGGAAGGACCGACGGUAGGUUUCUUCGGAGGAGGAGGCGGGUUGCUGGAGCUGCUCGGGGCCCGACCACGCUUCCUGCUCAUCGCGCUGAGGAUCUUGUUAUCCAUUCCAGCGGCUAUAUCCACUAGGCCCGAACCGACCAAGUUUGUGGGAGACAGGAGGUCUUGGCAAGUAGAAGCGUUCACCAGAGCAGUUUCCACCUGAAGCAAGGGUCGAUCUUCAAGCCCCCCGAUCAAAUCCCAUGACUCUGAAAUAACAAACAAGGUUAAAGAACCCAAUAAGUGGCAGUUCGAAAAAGAAUACAGGCAAAAAAUGAACGACCUGGGGUGACAAACUGCGUUGGUAGGUAAAGAUCACCACCCAACGAACGAAAUGCUGAACACCAUUUUCCCCCAGCAAAGAAGAAUUUGUUCUUCCAAUUCUUACACGAGGAGGGGAAACCGGUGAUUGGCUUUCUCUUUGCAGAACUGGACAUGAAGUAGUACCAGCCCGCCUCCCUUGGGCUGCUCCGCAGCUGAUACAAAUGCUUCACUUCAACAAGGGAAGGCUCCUCCAACCCGCACCUCUCCCACAACACAAACAUAGCCGAUAGAACCCUCCACUCGUUCGGGUGUAGCUGACCUGGGGCCAGGUGCAUACCUCCCAAUAUCUUGGCAAAAUAACGCUGAAGGGGCAGCCGAGCUCCAGUUUAAAACUCUCUAGGUGCAUCGUCACAUACCCCCGCGGAGGCCGACUAGGAACGUCACCCUUCCCAGGGACUACAAGAAGAACAUCGUUGGGGAUGUUGUAGAGAUUCCUAAGUUUAAAUAGAUCGGUGGGGGUGGUGGCACAAACCAUGAAGUCAAUAGGGUAGGAAUCAGCCUCCACCCUAUGGCCUAGUUUCCUUUUCUGAGCAGGUCUGCUCGGUCCGGAACUGCUCCCCUCACCAUCACUAACUCCUUCAGGGACCCCAACCCCACCAGAACUGUGAUUCUCACCAGAGCCCGACGCAGGUCCACCUCUAUUCCCUACAAGCUCUAGUUCGGGGGAAGAAGAGAUAACCAAAGGGCGUGGGUAUUCAAGGGUAUCCCUGCCAUGGGAAGGACCUACACUACUGGAGGGGUCUAAGUAAUCAGUGGGUAUUGGCACAUUGAGACCUGAGUCCCCUGACUCUUCAUCACCCUCAUCAACAAUUAACUUCCUCUUCCGAUUUGACAUACCGAAAUCCCCAAGAGAAAACAGAGAAAAUUCGAGUAUAUGGACACAAAGAAGGCAACACAGAACCCAAUCAACAACAACCAGAGGAAAGGGUUAAAGACUAUACCUGGAAUAGACUGACACUGAUAGCGCUGCCGUGACAGAGAAAACACCCGGCGAAUGGAUACUCCGGACGCUGGAAGUGUGAGCAAAGUUCAGAGAAAAUUUGGUUGACGGCGGAGAAACGAAUAGCAAGAUAAAGAUGACUCCAGUCUAGGGAUUUGAAACGAAAAGGGGGAAAUGGAAGCAUUUAAGUGAUGGGAUAUGCCAGCUCACCCCCCCAUAUAUCGAGGACGGAUAGUCCGUCGUUUCAAAUUUCAAAUACGAAGAGUCUGGAGAUGCCACGUCACCAACCGUUACAAGAGGCCAGGUUAGAAGUAAGCCCAGAUAUGCUAUGGGCAGGUUCACUUAGGCCCACGCUCAGGUCGGAGUCUCCUCAGUAGAGAAAUGGUACAUCAGGUCAGGCCCGUCUCAAUAAAAAGAGGAUCAGACGAGAAGCUCACCGGGCUGGUGAGAUUUGACCAUCAGUUUCUACUCUUAACUCAUUUCACUCGCCAGACCAGAAACUGGGGGACUGGUGUUGAGUACAUAAAGGCACCAGGUCGGCCAUGCUACUGGUUCUGCCCCGGCACGGAUCGUUUCAACUAUAUGGUACGAGCAGAACACGGGGUUAAACAGGAGCCGACCCGAGAUGAGUGCGACCAUGAAAACAUACUGACCAGAAGUAUACGCCGAGCCGAUACUCAUCCCCAGGAAAGCGGGAACACGAUCUCACAAAAUCGCGGUAGUUGCGCUUCUCCCAGAACGGUUGAAGGACACGCGAGAUCCACGUUUGCCCACAAUCUAACAGUUAGAGUCCCAUGAGGGGUUACCACCACCCGAAAAAGGAGGGAUAAGGGGCAAACGAAAAACGUGGGACAAAGGGCGGCUAUAAAAGAGAAAGACAUGGAAGAAGACAGGACAGAAAAAAUUGAGAGAGGGGAAACGCUGCCAAAUUCCAACCAGGCCAUUUCCUUACAAAUUUCUUAAAUCCAUAUUACACUGUUUUCCCGUAAACACCUUGUGCUAACUUAGGCAUCGGAGGGUUUACGCCGGUAAAACCACCGGCGUCUCUGAUCCGUGUUUGCUGAACGCAGGUCUAGUGAGAGAGGGAAGGGCGAUUCCAACCCCAGUGGUUCGAGUGACAGUUGAUAACACAAACGUUGAUGACAGAAUCUGGUCGGUCCAAGGGCGAGCAGAUUUCAGCAUCAACACUAUUGGCAAAGAGUGUCCACACGGAUGUGAUCAAAACUGCAUUAACACAAGCAUGGAAAACAACAAAAGAGGUGAAGAUUGAGAGCAUGAGAAACAAUAUUUUUCGGUUCAAAUUUGGGUUAGAAGUUGAUAAACAGAAAAUAAUGGCAGGAGAGCCAUGUCAUUUCGAUAGGGCUCUGAUUGUGUUGAAAGAACCCAAUGGAAUAGGAAACAUGAGAAAGGAAGAAUUCACGCAUACAUGUUUUUGGGUACAAACUCACAAUAUACCCAUAGUUUGCAUAGAGAGAGAGAGACAAUGUUCAAAAGCUGGGAGGACUGAUUGGAGAGGUGUUGGAAGUUGAAAUUGAUGAUGACAGGGAGUGUAUUGGUUUGUAUGCAAGAGUCAGAAUAUCCAUUGACAUCACAAAGCAAUUACAGAAAAUGGUUGGAGCUAGAAAAAGAUGAUAAGGUGGAGUUGCCAGUAUUGUAUGAACGGCUCCCAGAUUUCUACUUUUGCUGUGGUACCAUUUGGUACCAAUUUAAAGAGUGUGAAUCAUACAUAGGGCAACCAAAAAAAAAAAUUGCCCUAUGGAGUGUGCAUGAAGGCAUUGUCCAAAGUUGAAAAAACUAGGCUGAACAGGGGAAAAGAUAGAUGGAAUAGAAGGUUUGAGCAGCUCAAUAACGAACCAAAGGAAGCAGAACACCAUGGGAGAAGGCAGGCAAAACAAAUUGGUUUAGACCUGUAUAAACAUGAACUCGAGUCAAACUAAUCUAUUUCGGGGAGAUCAUGAUAGUUAAACAAGGAAAAUUGGGGAGUAAUUAAUGCAAAUGACUCUAGAACCAAGAAAUCAGAAAGACACGGUCAAAAGUAACCUAACAUGGCUGAUACCGAAAAUACAGCCGACAACUUAAACAAUCAUGGAAAAAAGAAAGAAAAAGCGGGAACAUAGAAUUGAGAGGGAAUAAAGUUAAAUUUGGUGCUAAAUUUGAAGCCAAAAUUAACUCUAAAUACAAGCCCAAAAAAAUAUUAAAGCAACUCAAGCCCAGAAGAAGUAGUAUGUGAUGGACCGAAAACAAAGAAUACUAGGCCUAAGAGAAAGAAGUGAAAGCUGCAAGCUAGUAGUGUAAGUAGCAAAGGACACACAAAAGAAGGGCUAAUUGUGGGAAAAAGACUAGGUUGUGGAGUAAUAAGGUCAAGCCUAAAUCCUAAAAAAAAAACCCAAAUCCGAAGCCCACAGAAAAACUCAAUAGCUAGAGAAAGCUCCUGCAAUACAUCUCCUCUUAGCUAUAAGCUCAACUGGGUUGUUUUAAGAAUGGAGAAAAUGAUAAAAACACAAACAAUGCAACUCAAUCGGCGGAGGCAGAACACCAACCCUGCCGACAACUAUGAGGAUUCCAAGCUGGAACGUUCGGGGGAUGGGGAAUGACCGAACGUUCAUAGCUCUCCAAAAAUUCCUCACAUUGUAUAGGCCUCAAUUAAUGUUUCUAUGUGAAACUAAAUUGACAUCUGUACACAUGGAAAAUGUUGGCAAGAAGCUGAAGUUUGAAAAUUGUUUUUGGGUUAGUAGAAGUGGUAAGAAUGGGGGUCUAGCUAUGCUUUGGAAUUCAGCAACAAGGGUAGAUAUCACCUCUUUCAGUAAACACCGCAUAGAUACUGAGGUAGAACUGAAAGUGGGAAGUAGAUGAGAUGCACUAGAAUCUACGGGCACCUAGAAACGAGUCAGAAAAAACACACCGGGACUUUAUUAAGGAGAUUAACAGGUUUAUCUUCACCCCUUUAGUUAUGCUUUGGCAAUUUCAAUGAGAUAAUGCACUUAGAUGAAAAAAAUGGAGGAAAAGACAGGGAGGUUCAUAUGAUUAAAGAGUUUCGAAAUGAUGUUCAGGAUUACAAUUUGAAAGAUUUGGGUUAUACAAGACACCAUUUUACAUGGUCGAAUAGGAGAUUUGGUAGCCACUUUGUUGAAAAACGUCUAGAUAGAUUUUUAUGUAGUAAUGAUUGGACAAAUUCUUUCUAAAACCAAGCUGCAAAAAAAUCUGAUUAUAUGGUGCUCAGACCACAAUCCGAUUUUGAUGGAAGUGAUAAGCAGAGCCAAUAGAAAGACAUAUAAUAAAAGAACCUUUUCAAGAACCCAUUAUGAAGACAUGUGGAGCAACUAUGAUGAGGGUAAGAACAUUGUAAAGGCAGAAUCGACCAAAGACUGGUCAGGGGAUAAUGCAGUGCAGUUUUUUAAACAAGCCAGCAAAUCUUAACUAACUGAAUUAGUACACUGGAGUAAGAAAACUUUUAAAGGAAGCAAGAAGAAAUUAGAGAAGCUGAGGAACAGAAUAUAAGAGCUCUAGUAGGAAAGACAGUGGGAUAAGGGUGAAGAAUUGAUAAGCAUUGAGAGGCAGAUCCAUAACCUCCUUUUAGAUGAAGAGAUCUUUUGGAAACAGAAAGAGGUUUAGGGCUGAUUGAUUGAGGGAGGGAGAUAAAAGCACCAAAUUCUUCCACUCAAAAGCUUCAUCUAGAAAGAGGAAGAACAAAAUUUGAGGAGUUGAAGAUGCAUAGGGAAAAUGGGUAGAAGAAAAUGAAGAUAUUGAGAAAGAGUUCUGCGGUUACUUUGCAGAGUUAUUUUCAACUUCCAACCCUACUCAAGAUCAAAUGGAGUGUGCUUUGAAAGAAAUGGUCUCAAAAGUUUCAGCUUAAAUGAAUGAGUAUCAGACUCAACCAUAUACAGAGGAAAAGAUAAUAGAGGCUCUAAAUCAAAUGCGUCUAACCAAGACACUAGGCCCUGAUGGGCUACCGACUGCCUUUUAUUGGAAGCACUGGCCAUUAGUUAACAUCACCACAUGUUUUCACAUCCUCAAUGAAGCAAGUAACAUUGCUCCUCUGAACCACACAUACAUUGCUUUAAUUGCCAAUAAUGCAAAGCUUAGGAAAGUGACUGAAUUUAGACCAAUAAGUCUUUGUAAUUUCAUUUAUAGGAUUUGUAAAACUAUUGCAAAUAGAUUGAAAACUAUCCUACAUGUUGUAAUUGAUUCUUCGUAGAGUGCUUCUAUCCCCAACAAAUUGAUAAUGGAUAAUAUCAUUGUUGGGUAUGAAUGCCACCAUAAGAUUAGGCAUAACAAAGGAAAAAAAAAUGGCUUGGUGGCUCUGAAGUUAGAUAUCAACAAAGUUUACGAUAAGGCAUAGUGGGAUUUUUUAAAGGAGACAAUGAUCAUAUUAGGUUUUGCUAAGAAGUUGAUAAAUUUAAUUAUGAAUUGCAUUACUACGUCAUACUUUUCUAUAAUCAUAAAUGGAAUACCAAAUGGCAAGAUUAUUCCUAAAAGGAGCUUGAGGCAGGGAUGCCCUUUAUCUCCUUAUCUGUUUAUAAUAUGUGCAAAUGCUCUUUCAAAUUUGUUGAUUCAGGCUGAGAGAAGAAAGUUAAUACAUGGGUUGAAAUUUGGAAAGCAUAUCUCUAUUUCUCACCUCUUAUUUGCAUAUGACAGCCUAAUUUUUUUUUUCCAAAGCCUCAAUUAAAGAUUUCCAGCAUCUAAAAGAUUUGUUCGAUUGUUAUGCCACUGCCUCUGGCCAAAUUUUUAAUUUUGAAAAGUCAUGCAUGUUCUUCAGCGGCAGUGUUUGUGCAAACCAAAUUUCGGCCAUUAAAAGAAUAUUUCAGCUCAAUGUGGUAACGAAGCAUGAGAAGUACUUGGGGCUGCCCUCAAUGAUAAAGAGGAAAAAGAAAAAAAUUCUUCAAUAAGAUUAAGCUAAAAGUCCAGAGCAAGAUCUCUAGUUGGCAAUAAAAACUUUUCUCGAGUUGAGGAAAAGAUGUCCUGAUAAAAGUAGUGGCACAACCAGCUUAUGCAAUGAGUGUCUUCAAGAUACCUAUUGGUGUGUGUGAUGAUAUUUAGUGAGCAAUAAAAAGAAGGAAAAAAAGGGGCAUCGUUUGGAUCAGAGGGGAGAAGAUGAGUCAAGCUAAAAUUUGAGGGGGAAUGGGCUUUAGAGACAUAUCAAGUUUUAACCAAGUCAUGGUAGCUAAGCAAGGAUAGAGAUUGAUUCAAAAUCCAGAUUCCCUUGCAGCUACUGUUUUAAAGGCUAGGUAUUUUCAAGAAGACUGAUUUUCUAAAUGCUUCAAUGGGGUCAAACCCAUCUUAUAUUUAGAGAAGCUUACUUUGGGGUCGACAAGUAAUUCUUAAUGGAUAUAGAUAGAGAAUUGGUAAUGGGUAAAACAUCUUAGCCUACAAAGGAAAUUGAAUUCCAAGACCAUCCACUUUCAAACCGUUUCCUAGUCCAAGGAUGCCUUUUGAUGCUAUUGUUUCAGAGUUGAUAGACAAUGAAAGCAGAUGGAAGACUGACUUGAUCCAAAAGAUGUUUUUAAAGGAAGAUGUAUAUGCAAUUCUCAAUAUUCCUUUGCCAAAAGGACAAAGCAAAGAACAAGCCAUCUGGCAUUAUGACAGAAAGGGGAAAUACUCGGUCAAGAGUGGAUACCAAGUGGCUAUAAAUAUGAAAAUUUUGAAUUCACCAAAUUGCUCCAACAGUAAAGGCAGAAAUUGGAAUAUCAUUUAGACCCUUACCAUCCCAAAAAAAGAUUAAGAUUUUCAUUUGGAAAGCAAUUAAAAACUUACUACCGACAGUUGAUAAUUUGUGGAAGCGUAGAAUUAUUCAGGAAGGUCACUGCAAGCAUUGUAGAAAUAGAGUGGAAAAUAUUAUGCAUGCCAUGGUCACUUGUAAAGCAGCAAGAAAGGUUUGGCAGCUUUCAUCAAUGGUGAAUGCAAGUCAACAGAUGAGAAAUGCAAACCUCUUGGGGGAUUUGAUGAUGCUUCAGAAGAAAUUAAGUAAAGCUGAACUUGAGCUUGUGGCGUCAAUUUGGUGGGUGAUUUGGCAUGCUCAGAAUAAAUUUGUAUCUGAAGGUGUAAAAUUGGAUCAAGGAUUGCAAAUGGCCAAAGCUGAAGCAGUCAAUGAAGUUUUUAAAAGAACAAAAUUUCCAGAGAUGUUGAAUCUAGGAAAAAUGCAGAAGGAAAAACCAAAAUCCUGGACCCCUCCACCCGAUGGAUGGCUAAAGAUAAAUGUUAAUGCAACUACUGACACCAAAAGACAAUGCUCGGGAUUGGGAGCAAUAAUCAUAGACUCCACUAGAAAGUGCUUAGCUGUAGCUAUAAAAACCUCAAGGUUUGGGAGAGAUGUAACAUAUGUGGAAGUAGAAGCAGCUGAGUAGGGCAUUAAAAUAGCACAGGAAGCAGGUCUACAGUCAGUUAUCCUAGAAACUGAUUCUCAUGAAGUACCAGAAUUGAUAAACAAUAGAGAAGGCAGCCUAACAGAAAUAUAUUUGGUCCUUGCGGAAAUUCAAGACUUAAAGAAGAAUUUUAAAGCCUUUAAAGCACAAUAUGUCCCUAGAUCAUUUAAUGAGUGUGCCCAAUCUUUAACUAAGAUGGCUAUUGAAAAAUUUGAAUCUAUUGUUUGGGUGGAGAAUUUUCCUCCUGAAAUUUUGUAAGUUUUCACUUCGUUGAAUUAAUAAAAGUUUUACUUUCCCAUAAAAAAAACUGGUAAAACCACGAAUGCUACUAUAUGUGAAGAUUGCCAUAUAUGAAAUUUUAUAAAAAAAAUGAAUCUUAUUUUCAAUGUGAAGAUUAUCAAAUAUAGAAUUUUUAUUAAGAAAAAAUUCUUAAUUUUUGGAUAAUUAUGAAUGGGAGUAAUAAUAUGGAGAUAUCUAAAAAUUAGACUUCCUUAUAUAUGCAACUUAAAUAACAUCUUUGAAAUGUUAGAAGAAUAAUUAUUCAUUAGUGUAUUAAUCAAAUAAAUUUCAAAUAUUGGGGUCUUCCUAAAAAUUGGAGCAUCAUUUAGUUAACCUAAUACUAAAGUCGCUCUUGAAUCUGUUAUGGAAGCCAUGCUAAAUUUCAAGGGUUUAAGAUUCUUAGAAAAGGCUAUGUUGAUCCCAAAUGGUACAAACAGGAACUUCCUAAUGUGAAUUGAAUGGAUACUCAAUCCUCUGAUGGCCAAGAGUUUAAGACCUCGUAUUAAUUGUUCCAUAUCUUGAUCUCAUUGAGUUUACUAAGACCAACUAACUCGAGACCUUUAAUCAUCUCCAAUCUCUUAGACUUAUAACCUCAAUCAUGGACACCCAACAAUUAAAUUUUUAAUAAAACUUUUAAUAACAUGAUCAUCUACUUCAACUGACAACAGAUAUAAUUGUUUCAAAGAAGCUAAUAUCACGCUUGCUGGUAACUCAAGCUUACAACCAUUUAACACUAAGGGAAUGCCUAUUUGGAAUUGAGGUGUUGUACAUUUUAAGUUACAUCUUCUGUAGAAAAAAAAAACUAUAAUUAUGAAGUAAAAGUUAAUAUUAUGUUGUAAACAUAAUUUUUUAACUAUAAUUUUAACAAAAUUAGUAAAGAUAUAAUAGAUAUUUCAUCAUACAUGUAUACUGUCAAAUUAACUUAACUUCUAAGUUACAGUAAAUUGUGUUUACCAAACAUUUUGGUGCUAUACUUUUUAAGCUCCAACUACUCAACCUCAAUCCUAAAUAAAACAGUAGUUAACGAUUUCAUACAAGAAACCAUUUAACAUUAUUCUCAAUUGCAUAGCAAAUGCGUUGGUGAUGAAUAGUGCUUUUAUUUUGUUACAGUGCACAUAAAUAUGAUGAAAAAACUUUGAAUCAAGUACCAAAAAUGGGAAUCUAAGCCAUGCUUGUUCCCACGUUUUAGAUAAAACGCUUUUUUCAACUACUUGUUUGAACGGGAGUAAUGACAAAAUAUGAUGCCUACGUGCUUUUGCAAAUUAGAUAUCCUUUUUCUUUUUCAGUUAUUCUCCCAACAUCACAGGCCUCCCUCAAUUAACCACUCUCAAGCAGAUUAAUAAAUUUAUUAAUUAUAUAGAUCAUGUUCUUACUCAUCAACAACAUAAUUAGAACUGAAUCUAAAUCGAAAUUAUUUUGAAUUAAUAUGGAUUAUGAUAUCUAGGCAUGCAUGGACAAAUUGAAAUUUAGUCUAAUUCAGUUUAAUUUAUUCUUUAAUGAGAAAAUAAAUUCGAACAAAAAUGACCCACAAAAGAUAAUUACAGAGAAACAUACAAUAUACAUUUAGAAAUUAGUUUAAGAAAUAUAAUAUCUGUCAACUAUCAACAAUCUCGCCGUCUAAAGCAGCAGCAAAAAUCAGCAAAAAUAUAAUAAUGGUUCUCAAACAUUGUUAAAUCCCUUAACACUUUAGAAUAAAUCAAUAUAGGAAAUGAUUGGUAAAUGCUUAUUUAUUCUUUAUAUUUUGAGUUACGUGCUCAUUUAAUUUUUAUAUUUAAAAAAUAUAUUAAAACAAAAAAAAGACAACAAACAAACAAAAAAAAUGAAAAAAUGAUUUCCAGAGAAAGUCUUGAAACUCUUAUGACAUAGGAUCUUGGACGAUCUUAAAAGACAUUAUAAAAUAUAAAGGGCUAAACGGUCAUGAAUAUUUACCCGGAAAUAAAAAAUUAAUUUUUUUUGUAUUUUGUCUAAGUGAACAUUCAAACAUCAUUUAUUUUUAAAUUUCAAAAUUAUUUACUUUUAUAUGAUAUAUAUCAUAAUAAUUCAAAAAAGAAAAUUGUAUUUAUUCUAUCUCUAAAAUAAAUUAAAAAAAUUACAAACUAUUAAGAUAUAAUAAAUUAUUAUUAUUAUUAUUUUACUGAUGAUGAUGACAACGACGACGGCGACCAUGAUGAUGAUAUACGAAUAAAUAUUUGCUUUAAUAUUUUUUAAAAAAAUAUUUGUUAAGUAUAAAACUCUACUCAAGUCGAAUAAAUAUAUGUUCAAUACACUUGAGGUAUGGCUAAAUGUCAAAAACAACCACAAACAUGAGAAACUGGAUGCAAUAGUCCUUUCGUUUGUAAAAUGUUCGAUAGAACCUUUCGUCUUAAUUCGAUAAAAAUAUAAAAUAAAUUAGGAUUACGAGGUGGUUAAAAGACUACGAAUACAUUAAUCUUUUAUUAAAAAUUAUAAAUACGUUAAUCUUUUAUUAAAAAAUCAUAAAGACCCACAAUAUAUAGUACUCCGAUGCUAUUAUUUUUAUAGUGAGUGGUCUAAUGGUUAUAAUUCCAACUUCUUAUGGUUAAAUUUGUAAUUUCUUGGAUAACUUUGUCAGUUCGUUUGAUGACAAAGAUGAACUUGGACAUGUUUUCGUUUCAAUUAAGAGGGAUGCAUCAUUUUCUUUAAUAGUUUAUAAUAUUAAUUAUUGACCAUUGGGUGGUUUCUUUCUUUCUUUUAUCUUUUUUUUUUUAAUUUAGCAUUGACGUGUAGAGUUUCGUUUGUGUGACUAAACUAAAUACUUUAAAACUUAAAUAUAUAGGUUUUGUAAUGGAAAAGAAUAUAAGAAAGACGACUCGUUAGUGUAAAAAUAGAAAAACUUGCGACUUAAAACUAUAAGAAUUCAUCAAUAAUGAAAUUUUAGUCAUAUAGUAUUUGUAAUAUAUCUUUAACAUAGAUAACUAUACAACCUAAAAAGAACUCAUUUUUCUAUUUUAAUGUUUUGUAAUGUCUUCAUUGAGAUUCGCAGCUGAAAAUAUACGCUUGUUGAAAAAUCUCAUAAAUAAGUAAAACAGAAACUAUAUAUUAUGAUGAACAAAAAGGUUUAAUAAAUUUAUAAUAAAAUCUAAUUACCUUGAUUGAGAUGAUAACUAUGGAAAAUAGACCACUAGUGAAAGGGACAAGGUAGCACUUUUACUGGGUGAAGGAAAUUUGGGAAAGCGGAAAGCGAUUAAUUAAAAAAUUAUAACAAAAACUUUUCAUGUAGAGUAAUUUUUUUUAAUUAUUUUAGGGAAAUAAUAAAAAAUUUUAGGCCGGCAUCUCGAAUAUAAAGUAGUAAUAAAAUUAUUAAGCAUCAAAGAGUAAUGAUACAGCCACAAACUCUUGUACAAACUUAUUUUGUACAAAUUGACGUGGUAUUAAUUCAUUGGUUGAAUAAAAAUAUAAAUUAAUAAAAACAAAUCAUCUGGGCCAAGUAAUAUUUAAUUCAACCAAUCUUAUCAUGCCACAUCAGUUUGUACAAAAUAAUUUUAUACAAGAGUUUGUGGCUAUAUCAUUACUCAAGCAUCAAAUUAGGCUUAUAAAUCACCUUAUCACGGUUUUUCUUUACAGUGACAUGUGAUUUUUUUUUCCUAAUAAAGAAGAGAUCCCUUCAACUAAUUUCAAUAUUUUGAGUCUUAACAAAGACUGAUCACUUCCGUUUGAGUACAUUAUAGAUUAAUUUGUCAUUGCUGAAGUCACUCCAAUUAUAUGAUGUUUUGAUAUUCUUAAUUAAAACCAAUUUCAUGUUUCUUUAAAUAUAAUUUUUAAUUCUAUUUUACUUUCUUCGUUGGUACUAUUUGCUUUUUAAAUCAUUUAAUUAUGCAUAUUUUUUAGGCACCCUAAACUUUCAUUCCAUUAAAUAGAAUUAUUACAAUCAAUCAGUACAAUCAGCACAAUAACUUAGGGUUAUUCUACUAAUAAUGUAACUUUUAAAAUACUAUGCGUUUUAAAAAGUAUUAUGGGUUUUAAAAAUAAUCGUAUGUGUGCUAAAUUUUAUUGCUAAAUUGCUAUAAGAAUGUAAACGAUUGAACUAGACUUAAUGUUAAAUUGAAUUUAUUUAUAUAUUUAUAAAUAUGUAUAUAAAAUAUUUUUAUUUUGUAUAAAUGAUAAUUGAUAACUAAAAUAAAUAUUUUAUAUUAUUAAUUUUUUUGUUAUCUUAAUAUAAUGGGAAGUAAUAAUUUUUUUAAGUUAAUGAUUUUAUUUCCUAAUUAAAAAGGAUAAUUUUAGAUUUAUAUAAUAAAUUUGAGAAUACGUAUGAAAUUAUGUUAGGUAUAAAAUUGAUUCUUAAAUCAAAUUUUAAAAAACUACUUAUUCUCAAUUUUUUAAAAUCCAUUAUAAAAUUAAACUAAGCUUACCAAAAAUAAUUUUAAAAAAUUAUCAAAAUCUAAAAUUAACUAUUAACUUUUAAAAACUAUUUUUAAAUUUCUCAACAAUAAUUCCAAACAGCCCUUAGAAUCUCAUUAUUAAAAAUAAAAGCAUAUUGGUUGGUUGUUCAAAGACAGGCAACAGCAGCCGGCUACGUACUUGCAAACGUCACGUGCCAGCGAUUAAAAGCAUUUUAAACAUAUGUGAACAUUGAAUCCAAUGGCAAUGGAGACUGAUUCGACCCUCGUGGAAUUUUUUCAUAUUCCAAAACGGUCGACCCAUUUCGGUCUAUAAAUACCCAAUUGAACCCUUCCGUUUCUUUAAUCAUUUUAUUUUCAGUCGCGUUAAGGAUUCUCAAUUUGCUUGUAAUUCUACUAAACAUGGGAAACAGAGCAGAGGAGGCUAAGCAAAAUCAAGAAGAGAACAACGGUAACAUGGCCAUUGAAACUCCCAUCAUCCCUCUUGUCACUCCUUACAAUAUGGGCAGUCUCAAUCUUUCUCAUAGGUACCGAUUGUACCCACCUUUUAUUUCAUUGAGUUUUUUAUUUUUAUUUUUUUGGAUUUACAUUUUCUUUCGCUGUAUGGAUUUUUGUAUGGCGUUAACUUUAUUGACGAAAGUGACAUCUGCCAAAGUACAUUUGAGUGACGAGCAUUCACAUCAUAAGCACUCAGAUUCUCACUGUUUAUCCAGGGCUCAGCGCAAACUCAGUCGACCACUGAAUCCUUGUCCAUUUAGAAUGAAUGGAUUAGUGAAUAUUUGGAAUGGAUUAGGAAAUAUUUGGGAUUUAGUUACUGUGGUUUUUAAUUCACAGUCUCUAUGUGGAGUGAAUCAGUAGCUAUCGAGUAAAACUGUUGGUGUUUACGGAACACUUUUUAACUGUCCUUUUUUGGUAAUUAAGCAGAAGCACGCCCGGUUAUUAACUUAUAAUACCCUUAACUGAUUAGAAUGUAUGAUCUGAUUUAGUUUCUGUAUCUUCUUUGUAUUUGUUCGUUUGGUCUAUGAUCUGACUGAGAGUUUUACAGAGGCAGUUUAAGUGUAAUGUUGCAAUUUUAUGGGUUUUUUUCUUUUGAGUUUGAGUUAUUGGUGAUGGGGCUAAUUGAAUUGCGGCUUGCUUGUUUUGUUUAUUUCAGAGUUGUUUUAGCACCACUGACUAGACAGAGAUCAUACAACAAUGUUCCUCAGCCACAUGCCAUUUUGUAUUACUCUCAAAGAACCACCAAAGGGGGUUUGCUUAUAGCCGAAGCCACUGGAGUUUCCGACACUGCUCAAGGGUAAUUUUACAUCCGUUUAGCUGUUUUAAGAGUUUUUUGAGGCAUUAAAUGGAUAAGAAAUUGUAUGUUUGAGUUUCGAAAGCAUUACCUGUAUUUAGUUGCUUGAAAAUCUUGUGUGUUCUGUUGUUUCUUUUAUUGUAAGGUAUCCAGAUACACCUGGUAUCUGGACAAAGGAGCAAGUUGAAGCAUGGAAACCGAUUGUAGAUGCUGUUCAUGCCAAAGGUGGGAUCUUCUUUUGUCAGAUUGGGCACGUUGGCAGGGUUUCAAAUCAAGGUGUGUUCUAUAUCUCUCUCUUCUAUUGACAGUUACUGGUUACUUAGUUAUCAGGAUCAUACAUACAUUUUAUUUCUGACAAUAAGAUAAGGUACCGUGAACUUAAGCUAUUGAAUUGCAGUAACUUACAGUAAUCUAACAUGAGGCAAGUGUUGAGAGAAUAAGCAGCUCGGAUUAAUCAAAUGCUCAAAUUGAGUACUGAUCAUCCUACAGAUGCACCAUCCUUUUGCAUUUUAUUUUCAGUUAAUAAAAUGAUAUUCAAUAGUUUUUUUGCAACCUCCAUGUGAUGGAUCUGACUGAUUUUAUAGAAAUUUGAGAAUCAUUUCAACUGGAUCUUCAUUGGUUUUUCCUGUCGUCGAACUGUACAGAUUAUCAGCCAAAUGGUCAAGCUCCAAUUUCCUGUACAGACAAGCCAUUGACACCUCAAAUCCGCACUAAUGGUGUUGAUAUUGCACAAUUCACUCCUCCAAGGCGGCUAACGACAGAUGAAAUCCCUCAAAUUGUGAAUGAUUUCAGGCUUGCUGCAAGAAAUGCAAUUGAGGCUGGUAAAUUCUUUUUUCUGAAAUUAAAAAUUGAAUUGUGGGCAAUAAGUGUUUUAAGGUCGCCACAGGAUGGGUGAUAUUUCACUGGUCUACUUUUCUUGAGAUUAAGGAUAAUAGUAUAAAAGAAUAGUGAGAUUCUUCCAUUCCAUGCAUGGCUAUCAGAAGGAAAGGAAAACUAAACAUAAAUGCAUUAAUAGAUUUUUACUAGGCUUUUGUGGCUUGUAAAUAAUGCUGUUUUAUUGUACUGUAAGGUUUAUGUGAAAACAGUUAAGUUUCUUUACAAUUAUGCUUAUUGUCCCAUAGUUGUAUUUAUCAUAUUGAAUAAAGAAUUUGAAAACUUAAACCUUACCUAAAUGUGUCAUUAAUGUAAAUGGAGUCAUUACAAUAGUCAGAUUAUUUGAAAUGGGUUCUAGAAUCUUACAUGUGACUCCUUUUGUCAUCUAAAAUGAUGGUUGAGACUUUGUUUUUUUUUUAUCUUAUCAACUGUUUUGUUGUUAGUUAAAAUAGGGAUUGAGUACCGGCAACUCUGAGUAGUUUUGUAGCUUUCUGCCUGCAUCUCUGAGACAUCACAAAACUGCCUUGGAUUAACUUUGAGAGCCAACCUAGUAAAUGCUUAAAUACUUUUUCUUGUUCUUAAAAUGAAAGCUAGACCCUCUGUCUGUCUGUCCGCACAAUGCGAGCCUCAGAGCUUUUAGUUAUAUGAGAAGAGGUAGAUAAAUGGAGUGUUCAUGCUGUACAGGUUUUUGGUUUCUAACUUUGUCUUAUGCUGUAUAGGUUUCGAUGGCAUUGAGCUCCACGGUGCACAUGGCUUCCUAAUUGACCAAUUUAUGAAGGAUCAAGUGAAUGAUCGAACAGACCAGUAUGGAGGAUCCUUAGAGAACCGUUGCCGUUUUGCUUUAGAAAUAGUUGAAGCUGUUUCCAAUGAAAUAGGGGCAGAUAGGGUUGGGAUAAGACUAUCUCCGUUUGCAAACUAUAUGGAAUCAGGAGACUCUAACCCAGAAGCUUUAGGUCUUUACAUGGCAGAAUCCUUGAACAAAUAUGGUAUCCUCUAUUGUCACAUGGUUGAGCCGAGGAUGAAAACAGUUGGAGAAAAAUCUGAAUGUCCUCACAGUUUGCUGCCCCCCAUGAGAAAGGCUUUCAAGGGUACUUUUCUUGUCGCUGGGGGUUAUGACAGGGAAGAUGGAAACAAAGCUAUUGCUGAAGGCCGUGCAGAUCUUGUUGUUUAUGGUCGCUUGUUCUUGGCUAAUCCAGAUUUACCCAGGAG
rnacentral:lncRNA from 1 species